rnacentral:lncRNA from 1 species
AUAUAUAUAUAUAUAUAUAUAGUGUGAGGCUACUAUGCUAUUGAAAGCACGGAGUCUUCCGUGCUUCCAGCUCGUUUUCGAUGUUGCGAUUUUCGAAUCGUCGAUCGGCUCCGUUAAACUUGAUCUAGAGUAUUUGAAGUACCUAGAAAAUAAAUUUUAUGAUUUUUUGAUAUCAUUUGCCUAGUGAUCGAAGAGGCUCAAAAUCAACAAUUUUAAUGGUCGCAGUGAGCCGUUUGCAAGUUUAACGGUGUAGAAAUAUCCAAAUCACGUGAAAUUUUGAUAGAAAAUUCUUUAUACUAUAUAAAACAAGAUCAAUAUCUUUGAUUUAAAAUUUUAAUGUCAUAUUAUUACAUUUUGUAAGAUUUUUAUUUUCAGCCGUUGAUUUUGAGCCUCUUUCGUUCACUAGGCAAAUUAAUAUUUUUUCAAAAAAAAAAAUUGCAUAUUUAUUUUCUAGGUACUUCAAAUAUUCUAGAUCAAGUUUAACGGAGCCGAUCGACGAUUUGAAAGUCGCAAUAUCGAAAAUGAGCUGGAAGCACGGAAGGCUCCAUGCUUCCGAUAGCAUAGUAGCUUACUAUAUAUAUAUAUAUAAUAUAUAUAUAUUAUAUAUAUAUAUAUAUAUAUAUAUAGGCUACGAUAUUUGGAUGAAUGGAUGUACGGUUAGAAUGAUAGAUAGCGAGGAUUAUUGGUUGAAUAAAUUUAUGGAAAUGGAUGAAAAAGUAAAUCUAAUGGUAAAAGAUUAUUACCAUCUAAGUGUUUGGUGCUAUUAAUAGUUAUAAUAAUAAAUGAUGAAAGAAGUAAAUCUAGCAUUGAAAAGUUUGUUAGCACCUUGAGUACUUGGUACUAUUAAUAAAAAUUGUGCUAGAAUACUGUUGAUAGCAAAAGAUUCUUUUUGUUGUUAAGUUUUUUUUGUCUUUGGAUCAACCAUUAGAUUAAAUAUUAUAAUCCAGUGGAGACCACUUAAUUCUAGAAGAACCACUCAACCCUAAGAAAUUAAUAUUAUUCUAACUCUAUAUAUUUUCAAACAAGGGUUAAAAACUUGAUAAUAAAAUUUUUUUUGCUAUCAAUAGUAUCCAGCCCAACUCCUAUUACUAGUAUUUAUAAUAACGAACUAUAUAAUAUAUUAUAUAUAUAUAUAUUAUAUAUAUAUAUAAUAUAUAAUAUAUAUAUAUAUAUAUAUAUAUAUAUAUAUAUUAUGGGUUAUUUGCAUACGCGUCCCUGCAAACAUAGUGAGAUUGCGGAAAUAUCCCUGCAAAACGGAAACUCCAUAAGUUGUCCCUGCAAAAGUCCUAAUUUAUGCAGAUAUGUCCCUCUGAUUAACAUCUGUUAGAGAAUUGUUUAAUUUUUAACAGUUUUCAUAUGAAAUGACCAUUUUGCCACAAAUAUAUCCCUUCAAAAGCAUCUUCCCCCUCUCUUUCUCUUCCUCUUCCUCUUCGGGCCGCCGGAGCGGAUGCGCGCGACUGCGCGGGUCGAGCUCGUCGGCGACAAAGAAGAGGAAGAGAAAUAAUGAGAGGAAGAAAAAAAGGGAAGAGGAAGAAGGAAGAAGAGGAGAGGAAGAGGGAAGAGAAAGAUGAAGAGGGAAAGGGUUCGUCCCGCACUGGCCGCCGCACGUCUCCUCCUCGCCGGCGACGAAGAAGAGGGAAGAGGAAAGAGGAAAGGAACAAAAGAGAGAGGAGAAAGAGGAGAGGAGAGGGUUGCGCGCCACCGUCGCAUCUUCUCCCUCGCCGGCGAUGAAGAAGAGGGAAGAGGAAGAGGGAGAGGAAGAAGAAGGGAGAAAAGGGAAGAGGGAGAGGAAGAAGGAGGAAAAGAAAGAGAGAGGGUUCGCCGUUGCCGCCGUCGUCGCCGCCGUCGCUGCCGCCGCCGCCCUCGCCGGCGACGAAGAAAAGGGAAGAAGAAGAUGGGAAAGAAGAAGAAGGGUUGGAUCGUAAAUUUACCUUAUAAUUAACCAUGGUUAAGUACUUUAACCGUGGUUAAUGAAAAUUUUCUAACAGUCCUUAACGGCAGGGACAUAUCUGCAUAACUUUAGACUUUUGCAGGGAUAACUUAUGAAGUUUCCGUUUUGUAGGGAUAUUCCGCAAUUGACUAUGUUUGCAGGGACCUGUAUGCAUUUAACCCUAUAUAUAUAUAGUGGAAAGUUGUUAUCCUAUGGAGGGCUAGCGUGGUCAAUGUAUAUCUAGAAAAUUAAAUUAAUUACUGAGAAAAAAGUCAAGAAAAUAAUUAAAAGCAAUGUUUCUCAUAAUAAUAAUAAUAAUAAUUUGUGUAGUACAAUCAACACACCAGCUACUAUUAGAACUUAAAGAAAAAAACCAGAGAUAACUUUUUUUAAGGAUAAAAAUCCAAGCUAAUUAAUAUUCACGGGACUAUCCAUAAUGAACAACAUUUACGCUUUUUAACGAGUAAUUAAGAGAAAAUUUGGUGUGCAUUUUCUUCUAUAGCAAUGCUCAAUGAAAGAAGAAACUAAAUAAAUAAGAAACUUCUACAUGUUUCAUUGUGCCUUAGCUGUUCUGUAUUGUUUAGUGUUUUAUUUUUUUUUCAUUAUAUAUAUAUAUAUAUAUAUAUAUAUAUUUAUUUAUUUAUUUAUAUAAGGUUGAGUUUUUAUGAUUUUUAAAUAGUCGGAUUGUUUCAACAUUGAUGUAGCACUAGUAAAAAAAAAUUUAAUAAAAUACAUUAUUAAUAAUGCUAUACGAAUUUUGAGACAAUCCGACGGCAAAAACAAAUAAUUAAGUAAUUUUAAAAGCGCAAAAAUUCAACCCUCUCUCUUUCUCUCUCUCUCUAUAUAUAUACUUAUUUGAGGGAGAACUUCAAAAACCCUCCAUGUGGUUAUGUAGUUUCUCAUCACUUUACCCUCUUGUGGUUUAAAAUGUAUCAAUUUCUCCCACUGUGGUUUCGUUUUUAUUUUUUCGGUAGCUUUUUCAUUAAUAUUUUAUUAAAUUAUAUACAAAAAAUUUCAGAUACCCAUCUAGAUUUAUCAAAUAUUCACUUUAGUACCUUUUAAUUUUAACUUUAUCAUUGAUUUAAGAAAAAAUAAUGAAAUUGAUAAGAAAAAGAGAAAAAAGAAAUCACAAGAGGGCAAAUUGAUACAUUUUAAAUCACAGGGGGGCAAAGUGAGAAACUACGAAACUACAGAGGGGGUUUUUGAAAUUUUCCCUAUUUAUUUUUUCGACAGUGUUUUGAUAAUAUUGUGUGAUCAAAACUUCAAUCCGUUCUUCUGACACACUAUUUAAUGACCAUGGAUUGAACACUUCUUUGAUCCCCCGCCUAUCAAGGCUAUAUAUGGAUUUUACCGUGUGACGCACAAUUAUAUAUUUAUAAAAUUAUCGUGUCCGUAAAGUACUGCUGUAAAAUUAAGAUGGAUAUGAAUAAAUGAUAUGAACUUCUUAUUGUUUUAAUCAAUAAAAAGUUUUCUAAUUUUCCAAACACAUGUAAUUUGGAACGGCAUUUUAUGAUGAUAUAUGUAGCAUGUGGCCGCGAUGAUUAAAAAUAUCGGUUAACCGACCGUUCCCAAAGCAAGUGUCAAAGGGCUUAGUGGUUGGCACCCGAAGUCUCAAGUUCGAAUCCUAAUUAAUUAAUUCACAUUUCAGGCUAAGUUUAUUUCUAAAUGAAAUAAAAGAGGUGGGUAACGUGCUACCUAUCUUUCAAAAAAAAAUAUAUAUCGGUUAAUUUUUCUUUGAAAAAAUAAAAAAUAGGACUCAGAUCAAUGCUUAUUUAUUUUGAUGUGGGUCAGUGCUUGUGGUCUCCCUCCACACUCCAAAUACAGUAGCUUUUUCUUUAAACUAUGCUAUACGCCAAAAAAAGAAUGUGAAUUUUAUAUAUUUUUUAAUUAAGAAUUUUUUUUUUAUGUCUUAGCCUUAUCUAAACUAUUGGAUGGGUUGGGUAACAGAUUUACAUACAAAUUUUCAGUAUACAAAUAGCAUUUCUUAUAUUUUAAUAUAUAAGCGCACUAACUAGUAUUAAUUGAAGCCUUUUGUGUGCUUUGGUAACUUAAUUUUUGGAAUAAUAACGGUCGUUGCACAACCAUGGUAUUGACGAGCCCUGUAGAACACUGUUAUGGGAUCAAGAGUGUAUUCAAAUUAUUCCUCAAAAAAGUAAUCAAAAUUACUAGCGAAUUCCCUAAAAUCGACGAAGAGUAAUUCCGUAUCAACAAAUUGCCUACUUAAACUAAAUUUUUAAAAAAUUAAACAAUUAAAAAAUAGAAUUAUAAUAUUUUGGAUUCAUCCCAGACGCCCAACGAAUGUUGUACAAUUAUAAAACAAUAUAUACUAUUCCCUAUGUUCUUUUAUGAUGAACCUAAGGCAAAAUAAUAUUCGAGUUGAGAAUCAGUUUAUGCAUGAAUUAAGAACUACAGAUGUGGCUGAUAAUUGAGAUGAAAUUAAUUAUAAUAGAUCUGCUAUCAAAUAGUUCUGAUGUUUCUGCAAGAACAUUUCUGAACCUCAAAUAAAACAUGGAACCUGUCACUUUAUUUUCAAAUAGAUUUCAUGCUUCGUAUAAUUUGCGAACAUUAACGGGAAACGCAGCACUCGCAUCCCCAUCCAGAAAUCUACUGGCAAUUAAUAAGUUGGUAGCUUCUGUAGGAUGGUAUGCAUCCCAGAACACAUACUCUGUGCGAUUUUCGCAAAGAAAAGAGCUUUCGGUGGCAUCGACACCUCUGAAGCAUAGAAAUGGAGGGAAGCUGCCUCCACAGCAGGGGUCAUUUGCAUUCACAAAACCUGAAAGAUCACAAAUUUUAUUUUUAUAAAAAAAAAAAAAAUGUGAUCACUUAAACAUUGCUAGUUAAGUAAUUCAUGAGAAACAGAAAAAGCGUAGCGUAUUAAUUUGUAGUUACUAUUUUAUAGUUUACAGCAAAUUAAGCGCUCUACUCUUGCUGGUCUCUAUUUUACUUUGAUUAAAUUUAAUACGAGGAGUCGGGGAGUAAAGCAUUACCGUAUUGGCGACUAUUACGCAUUAAAUCUAUUACAAUGUCAUACGAAUUCGCGUAAAUAAACAUGGUUUCUGGUCCCAUCUCUCGAUUUAGCUCGUAAAUUCCUCUUCUCAAUUUCGUGUUGUAGCCUUGGACCAGCUUGUUCGCGGUUGGUGAGCACCUUCCUUUCGAAACCAACUUAAGGGCGCGAACGUACGGUAUGCAACCGAGAGGUCCGACGUCCACCACUACGAAUUUCCUGGCCCCGAGCUCAUGUAAACGCUUCACGAAACAAAAGCGAGCAUUACGAAUAUGACGAAGCGCUUGAACUUUGAUCUGAUUGUACAAAACUUUUAGUUUGUUUAAUUAGCCAGUAACAAAUUUGCCAGUUAUGUAAUUAUCAAAUUAUUUAAAUGAGCCUAAAUUAUUCAGGAGGAUUCAUGUAUGCACACUACCUUGAGAUAUGUGGUCAAGUUGGAAACCAUGGUAUCCUGGAGAACAGAGGCAUGCAUCUUAUCUCUUCCCAGAAAGGGUAUGGAGGGUUCGAGAUAGUUCAAAAUAUCAUUAGACCCUGAUGCUAUGGAGAACACUGCUUUUCUUAAGAACUCAGAUGUGUGAUUCUCUCCCAUCUUUUCCACCAUGUGGUUUCUGGCCUCCUCAAAGUAGUUGAUCUGCUGCCCCAGUGGUAUUCUUUCAAGCUAUAUAUAUAUAUUACAAGAAAUUAAGAUGGUAUUAUAUAUAUAUAUAGGAAACUAGUAUAAUAAUUAAGAUAAUUUGCAUCGAUUUACAUACAAAUAAAGAACCAGUCUCAUCUAGUAUUCCAGAAGCGCCAGAAGCAAAGUUGAUCCCUCUGUGUUUGCUGUUUUCAGCAGCAUUGGGAGCUAAGUAGGGUGGAGGGAAGGAGCUGUCCCCUAGAGCUUCACCUGAGAGCUUAGAACAAACCCUAGCUAUUUUAGUAUCAUUACCGCGUUGUUCAAACUGUACGCACGUAAUUUAAAGCCUCUGCUGGAAAUUGCUAUUGAAAUGAUGUCGAAAUCAAGCAAUGCGCGCGACAAUCACGCGACUUACGAACUAGAAAAUAUUGUAAAUAAACAAAUUAAGCGUUAUGAUAUAAAUCACAAAAUAGUAAAGUGCAUGUUCUAGGCUGCGACAAAGGAGUGAAUUCUACGGUUAGAGAUAGUUUUGUUUUACCAAUAAUGUCUGAAAUAGUUCGACCGUUCGUGAAUCUUCCAGUAGGCCGCCCACCGGAAGGAGUAAAGUCGAUGCCAUAAGGCGGCGAGUCGGCUCUGGAGAGGGUGAGGAGAUAGUCGUUGUUCCCGACAUCCGCGAGGGAGUCCCCAAAUAUGAAGGAAGUGUAAGAGAGACAUGGAAUUGCCCAAAGAGAGAGCACAAUAAGUAGUAGAUAGAGACAAGGUGAUGAAGCCAUAAGAAAUUAAUGUACUAUAUUUUGAUCCAACUCUUUGCAUGAUUUAUAUUCUCAUGGAUCUGUUGGAAUAUAUCUGGUGUGCUCACGUUUGCGUUGCAUGCAGUUUGCAUGGCGUGUUUAGGUUUGGCGGUUCUGGCACAUCUUGACAAGGUCGCCAUGAAAGUCUAAAAUGUAGUAGUUAGAUGGGAUGAAGUGGUAUAUAUUUUCAUAUCAAUCAAAUUACUUCUUUGGAAUUUACCCAUCUCUCAUCAUAGCCAUUAUUUAGAUAAGAAUGCAUUAAUUACCUAUGCCCCGUGCAUACGCACAAUAUUUUGUAUACCAUCUUUCAUUCUAUCUCUGCUUGUCAGUCAUUUUGUUAAAAGCUUGAUAGUUUAGAUUAGAAAUAUAGGACGAAAUUAUACUGGAGGAUUAGUAUGAGACAAAUGCAAGGCUUACAAUGCAGUAAGUGCACAAAAUACUUUUAGUUUUCUAAAAUAUUUACUUUUCUAUUUUAGUAUUAUUAAUUAUUAAAUGUAUACUAAUUAAUUUGUUAUAUUUAUUAUGCCCCUCCUUUUUUUUUUCUUUUUUUCUUUUUUUUUUGCUUUGCUCGUGGAUCAAACGGUGUAAUAUAUAUGCUAUUCAUCACGUGCAAUGAUUAAAUCUUAUAACAAAUGCGCGCAGAUGGUGAACGAAGCAUGGUUAAAUUGUGAAACAGUAUAUAUAUACAUACACGAUGAAUUAGACUAUUUAAUUUCCCCCUAAACGAGUUUCAAAUAUAAUUUUCAGAACUUGUACAGCUAGGACUCUGGUGAACACUCACUCAUAUACAUUUUGGUUCUGCACCUAAAAUUCGACCUAAGUUCAGUAUGCCUUUUUUUUAUUAAAAAAAAAAAAACAUAAUAAGUGAAUUAAAAUUGUAUUUCAGAUAUUAAUUGCGUGUUUCAGGUUAAGCUAGUCUGUGUCAUAUUAUUAUGGUCCAAUCCACGUCCCUCGAGCAGAUAGCAAAGUGGGGUUUUGUUAAAUUAAUAUUACAAGUACUAAAAUAUCAUUUUCUAGCUAGAACUUAAAAUAACCUAAAAAUUGGGGUUUCCAAUUCUUUUAUCAUUGCCCCUAGCUUUACCAAAAAAAUUUCUGCUUAAUUUAAAUUCACAUAUUGGAUCUAUUUAAAUAUUUGGAAUCCCACUUGUAAUAUCUGCAUAUUAUCAUAAGCUUGAACGUUUAAUAUGUAUCCUAUCUUCAAAUACGCUAAAUCAAGUCUAACGGAGCCGAUCGUCGAUUUGAAAAUUUCAUAAUCGAAAACAGUUCAGGAGCACGGAGGCCUCCGUGCUCCUAAGAGCACAGCAGUCCUGCUCUCUCUCUCUCUCUCUCUCUCUCUCUCUCUCUCUCUCUCUAUAUAUAUAUAUAUAUAUAUAUAUAUAUAUAUAUAUUUCUUUGAAAGGAAUUAAUACAUAAUUCAAAGUCCUAUAAUUUAAGAUCACAGAAAAAGUUUUGUAAUUAAAUCGAAAUAUUAUAAUAUGCGACAUAUGACAGUACCUAUUGAAACAAAUAUAAAAUGUUGUAUUAUAUUUUUUUCAUCACAUGUAAUUUUUAGUAAUUUUAAUAAAAAAAAAGAAAGAAUAGUGGCUUCAGUCGCAACCCUGCAGUCACGUGCGCCUCACAUGCCCGAAUCGCAGAAUAUGGUGGCGAGGGAGGUCACCACUAGGGAAAGUGUUGGCCGGGGAGUUCAACCGCCACCUACCCCGUCUCCUUUGUCCAACAUACGGUUUUAAAUGAAUCCCCCUCAUCAAUUCGUUUCUCUCUCCCCAUCCCCAACCCCACCCCUACCCUCUCCCAUUCUCAAUACCACACAUACACAUCCUUAAACCCUUCAUAUAUAUAUAUAUAAUAAUUGCUCCAAUAUUUUUUUUAAAAUUCAAAUUCUCACUUUUUUUUUUUAAAAAAAAAAAAAUUUAAAAAUCUAACAUUCGGCAGCUUUAAUGAGUCUUCCCUCCCCAACCCACUACGUUUGAAUAUUUUGGCUUCUCUAUCUCAAUCCCUCUCUCUAGUUGGUUGCAUGGUUGUUCACUACAAACACCCACUCACUUGUAAGAGAUCGACCAAGUACUCGGUCUCUGUCUCCUGUUCCUUUCCUCCUCCUCCUGCUCCUCCUUGCUCUAUCCGCGCGGGCUCAUCUCCGCGCGAGCACACGAAUUAAAAGCAAAGCAGAAUAAAUAAAUAAAUAAAUAAAUAAAGGGGGAAAAAAAAAAAAAGAAAGAAAGGAAGAAAGAAAGAAGGAGAUGAUGGAGAUUAGGAAUGCAGCGGCGGCGAUGAUGGCGGUGGCGAUGGCGGGGCGGCUGCUGAACGACGUGGUGAGCUUCUUCGUGUUCACGGCGCUGGACGUUCUGGACGUGGUGCUGUGCUACGUGUACAAGCUGGCGGACUACACGGUGGAGUGGGAGUGGCGGCCGUGCUACUGCUCGUCGUCGCCCAAGGACAUGAUCACCGGCAGCGGGAAGAUACUCGUUCUGGAGAGCGGCGGCGCCUCCAAGGUCGUCUCCCUCUCGUCCACCAGGCUCCACCUCGAGGACAUCUCCGACACGCUCUACCACCGCCCCUCCCGCCUCGCCGAGCUCUCGCGCUCCACCGUCAACGAGCUCCGCAGGCUCAAGCGCGCCCACGCCGCCGCCGCCGUCGCGCGCCGCGCCGCCUCCGCCUCCGCCGCCGCCACGCUCACCAUCAACGCCACCAUAAUCCAGAUGCUGCAGGGAAAGAUGGGCGCCGCGCGUCACAUGCCCUCCCACACCGCCCCGCGCUGGUCCGACUGCGCCUGCGCAAGCUGCAACCCCUCCGCCUCGCCCACCACGCUCUUCGUUCGCGCCGACGGCCCCAAAGGUCGGUGAACACAACAAAUAUUUAUCCAUCCAUCUAUCGCCGCUUUAAAAUUCGUGCAUCACAAGCAUGUACAUAUUAUAUAUAUAUAUAUAUACACACACACCGGACGGUGCAAAUUAACGUUCAUAUGUACAUAUAUAGUUUCUACUGGCUAAUGUAUAUAUAUUUGCUUCAUCGGUCGUCGUCAGACGGAGGUGCGGCGGAGGACGUGCUGUUCAUCCACGGGUUCAUAUCGUCGUCGGCGUUCUGGACGGAGACGGUGUUUCCGAACUUCAGCGAGGAGGCGAAGGCGCGGUACCGGCUGUUCGCGGUGGACCUGCUGGGGUUCGGCCGCAGCCCCAAGCCGGGGGAUUCGCUCUACACGCUGAGGGAGCACGUCGAGAUGAUCGAGCGAUCGGUGUUGGAGCCGUACAAGGUCCGGUCCUUCCACAUUGUGGCCCACUCCCUCGGAUCCAUCCUCGCCCUCGCCCUCGCCGUCAAGUACCCCGGCGCCGUCAAGUCCCUCACGCUCCUUGCACCGGUGAGGAAAUCUCAUUAGGAUGAACACACAAAACAUACAUCUUCAACUACAUAUAUACAGCCAUUCAAUUAGAGUUUUUCCGAGUUUUAUAUAUUCUUUUAAUCCGAGUUUUCUUUUUUUUUUUUGGUUAAAUUUUGAACAAUUAAAAUUAAAGAAGUUCUGCUGCUGCGAAAAGAAAAUGUUGAAUAUAAAUAUAUUUCGUAUUAUUUAACAUGGUAUAUAUCAGUGUCAGUGUUAUUGUGCUGGUCUAUACUGAUGAUGAUGAUGAUAUAAUAUUACGGGCGUGGCAGCCGUAUUUUCCGGUGCCGAAGGGGGAGAAGGGGACGCAGUACGUGCUGCGGCGGGUGGCGCCGCGGCGGGUGUGGCCGAUGAUAGCGUUCGGGGCGUCGAUCGGGUGCUGGUACGAGCACCUCGGCCGGACGGUGGCCCUGGUGCUGUGCAAGAAUCACCGGCUGUGGGAGCUCGCAUUCAGACUCCUCACCUUCAACAGGUUCGAGCCACGUACCUCUUGCUUAAUUUUGCUGCUGCACCUGCAGCUGCUGUUGUGAGUUAUUGUGUUAGCCUGUUUUGUUGCUGUUCUUGCGUUAUUUAAUUGCUUUUGCUCCCCAGUUAUGGCUUUGCAUUCAUUCGGCUACUCCUCUCUUUAACUCCCGUUUGACUACGACGGGAAGUGAACCUUUUUACACACAAAUCCUCGUGAAAUUACCUAAUUGCGCGCAACCCCUUGCAAGAAUAUAAACAAAAUGUUUGGAUUUGUUUAAGCCCCGACUAUGUGCAAAUAUUUUGGAUUUUCUUUUUUCACAUACAGAACCUUAUAAAAUGAGCUAAUUGCACAUAAACCACUGCGAAAAUAUGAUUUCCUUUUAAAAAUAGUAUUUUGAUAUUAAAUUGAGUUUAAAAAUACAUCCAAGCUGUGUUUCCUAACCUAAGUUAAUAUUUAGCAAGAGUGUUUAUAUUGCAAUUUCUAUAUUUUUUCGUUCGAGGGUUUAGGUGAAAAUUCAGAAUGUAGAGGAUACAUAUCCGAAUACAUUAUGUUAUGGGCCAUAAGUUCUUAGCGUCAUGUUCUGCUUGGACAGAACCCCACUAACAAAAUAGAGAGAAUGAUGGAUUAUUUAGAAUACUUGAUCCAAAGUAUUUGUUGGAUAAUGAAAGAAAAUAGAAUGCAAAUCUUUUUCUUAAAAAAAUUGUAUCUAUUACUUGACUGAGAUAUAAUAAGAAAAAAAAAUUCUAAUGACAUAUCAAAUUAUAUAAAAUUAGUAUUUAAAAAAAAAAACAAGAAUGACUGCCAAUGAGAUCUAAACUUAAAUAUCUAAAAUCGCUCAUCCAUUAUUUUAAAAAAAUGAAAAGUUCGGCCUCCUGUGGUAUUGUUGUCAUUUUUUUAUUUUUUUUAAAUAAAAAUAUUAUAUAAUUUAAUGUGUUUGAAGAAAGAUUUUUUUUUUUAUUGUUAUACUUGGUUAGCUUAUAAUAUAUCCGGUUACGUGGUGGAUAAUAACUUAUUUAAAAAAGUUUAAAAGCAAGAAAAAUAUAUUUAUGUUUAUUUUUUAUUGUGAAGGAAACAUUCUGAAUGAAAUAAUUGUAAAUAAUUUAUUGUCCUCUUCAUUAUCUUUUGAUGUACAAAAUUUUAUUUAUAAAUUUAAAAACAAACAUAAUGUUGAAAGAGGCUGAAAUUACAUGGAUGACAAAAGAGAUUUCUAAUUACUAUGCAAUAAUAUAAUUAACCAACGUCCUAGAUUUUAUUUUAUUUUUUUUGUUUUUUUGCCGCUCUAGAUGGAUUUAAUACUUUCUUUUUUAAAUCCAAAAAGUUAUAGCCUUCGCUUCUGACCCAAUUUGUAAACACACAAACGGAGAAUUAUCCUACAAACAAGAGACUUUAGACCUAAUUUGUAAAUGCCUAAAUUGGAAAUUGAACUUCCAAUCUCUUACUUUGCAUUUCAAUUAACAAUUACUAGACUGGUCUAAAAGUUUUCGCCUCUGAUUUUUAAUUUGAUGGUGCAUUUUCUAUCUCAACCAGGCUCUUUUUUUUUUUUUUUUGACAAAGAUACACCAAACUCAUCUGAGCUAUGAAUCAUUUUGAGUCAGCUAUCCGAUCUUUCAAAAUUUUGACUUUAUUGUUAAAUCUUUCAAUUUAUUUGAUUUGAGCCAGUCAAAUUAACAAUACUUUAACUUUGAAAUUUAAGUUAAUUACUAACUUUAAUAAAUUUAUAGUUGCAAGAACUGCAUUAAUAAAACUAGUUAAAUCUAUAAAGAUAAACGACACAUUCAUAUAUUUAAAGUUAAAGCAAUAUUGACUGAUUCAAAUCAAACAAAUUGAAAAAUGGGAUAGUAAAAUUAAAAGUUUAAAAUGUUGGAUAGCUGAAUCAAAAUAAUCUAUAGUUUGAAAUAAGUUAUGGACAUUUUUAUUCUUUAUUUUUUUUUUAUUGUGGAAACUAAAGCAAAUUAAGCAAUAUGCAUAGCCAUUUACUGGAUUUGGAGACUAGUUAAUUACUAGUAGUAGUUCAUCUCUGGGACCAGUAGUACACCUAUAUAUACUUAGACCCCACACCACUGAGUUCCCCUGGGACUAUACAUAGGUCUACUCGGUCACACCCACCCACGACCAAAUCUCUUUUCAUUUAUUUAUAUGUCUCCUUUUCCAAUAUUUUAUCUAAUUAAUGUGUCAAGCAACCUACACAUACUUUUGUUUGAAACAAAUAAAAAAGAACAAUGUAGAAGAGUGUUUGGGUCAACCAUUCAUUAACUCGUUCACAGUGUAGUGCACCAUAACUUUGCCAACUAAGUCUUAGGGCACAGCUUGGGUGGUGAACCACCAAAAGCUACAAAAAUUUUCCACAAAUAGAAGCAAGGUAGCUCACCAUACUAAGGCCAAAUUAGGAGAUUAACUUGUUUGAAACCAACUCGUGAUAAAAAUGAAUGCAAAGUUUAGAAAGUGUUUGAUUAGAGUAGAAAUAUUAGUGAGAAUAUUUUUAAAAUUUCUUUCUAUGUAUAAUUGGGCAACGCAAUUGCGUCGGACUCUAUUGAGCGUUCACUCAAUUGCAAAUCGUCAUCUGUGUAUUAAACCAUCUAAAUAAAGAGGAAAUGCUAGAGUGACAUAGGGGUCGUUGAAAAAAUAACAAAAUUUAUGUGUAGUUUAUUUGAUGUUCUAAAAUUUGGGCACCUCUUUGGCCUCGCACAAGCCAGAGGUUAGCUACAGAAUAGUUUUCAAGUACAUAUUGUGGAGCCCUACUUUUCAAGGGGUGAUUCAUUUUAGAAUUAUUUUAACUCUAACACAUUAAUUUUUUUUUAUGUUUCGAAUCUAACAAUCAUCCAAAAUAUUAUAAUCGAAUUAAGAGAUAUAGAACUAUUCUAAAUCUUAAGAUUGUCUCUCUCUCACACACACACACACACACACACACACACAUAUAUAUAUAUAUAGAGAGAGAGAGAGAGCUAGGCUGGUAUACUAUAUCGGUAGCACUCAGGCCUCCGUGCUACAAAGUUGUUUUCAAUGAUGUGGCUUCCAAAUCGAUGAUCGGCUCCGUUAGACUUGAUCUACAUUAUUAAAAAUAUUUGAAAACUAAAUUUCAUAAUUUUUCGACAUCAUUUGAUUAGUGAUCAAAAGGUUUCAAAAUUAACAAGUUUAAUGGUAGAUGUGAUGCGUUUGUGAAUUUAACGGUAUAAAACAAUCUAAAUUUGAUGAAAUUUUUAUAAGAAUUUUUUUUUACUAUUUAGAAUAAGAUCAGUAGUUUUGAUCUUAAAUUCAAAUCUUUUAUCAUUAUUUUUUUUGAGAUUUUUAUUUUAAAACGUUCAUUUUUAGACUACUCGCUUGAUAGGUAAAUGAUGCCGAAAAAUUAUAAAAUUUAGUUUCCAAAUACUUUCAAUAGUAUAGAUCAAGUCUAACGGGGUCGAUCGUCGAUUUGGAAGCCGCAUAAUUAAAAACAACUUGGUAGCAAGGAGACUUUCAUGCUACCGAUAGUAUACCAGCCUAUCUCUCUCUAUAUAUAUAUAAUACAAAAUCUAUAUAGUUUCUAAGCUACUUUUGCAUGUUAUCGCUCCUAACCAAACAUUUACGUAGACAGUUUUGGUUCAAUUUGCAAGCAUUACUAGAUGCAGUGUGGCUGAUUGCAAAUAUGAAUGUCUUUGGAAAAUUUAUGACAGAAUUAGAACGUACUUAAUGGACGGGUUCUUCUGCCACACUCACAACGCUUCCUGGCACACGCUGCACAACAUCAUCUGCGGCAGCGCGGGCAAGAUCGACCGGUACCUGGACGUCGUGAGGGAUCAGCUCAGGUGCGACGUCACGGUGUACCACGGGCGGGGCGACAAGCUCCUGCCGAUCCAGUGCAGCUACGCGGUGCGGUCCAAGAUCCCACGCGCCCGCGUCAAGGUCGUCGACGGCACCGACCACCUCACCAUCGUCGUCGGCCGCCAGAAGGCCUUCGCCAGAGAGCUCGAGGAGAUUUGGAAGAGCGCAAGUCGCUGAGACUGCAGUAAAAAGAGUUUGCACUAUAGGAUUGUUAUCAAGAUCAAAAUUGGAUCUAUGAGUUCAAAAAAUUUAAAAGAAAAGAAAAGAACCCAAAAAGAAAAAAGAAAAGAAAAGAAUUGGACAUGGGUGUAAAGUGAAAAAAGAAACAAAAGGACCUGAGAAAAAUGUGAAGGUUGGGCAAUUUUCAUUCAACUUUUUUUUUUCUUUAUUCUUCUUUAUCAUCAAUUUAAUUAUAUAUAAAUUUGAGUUUUUUUUUUUUCUGGGUAUUGUUAUGGUCCUGUGUAUAUAUGGUUAUGUUUUGUUAAAGCUUCAAAUAAUAACUCUGUUGUUAACAAAAAUUUACAUAUUGUACUGGAUAAUUGAUGGUCUGUAUAACAAUCAUAUAUUCUAAAUUUUCCUAAACUAUUUUCCCCUUUAGAGUCAAGAGAUUAUUUCUGAAUCAUUCUUACUGCAUCACUUUUUUUAAAUGAUAUAGAAUUAGAAAAAUAAAGAGUAAUAUGGAUAUCGUUAAGGGUCUUGUAACUAUUAUCAGCACAGUAUCAAAUUAAAGUUUUUACUUUAGAAUCUUUUUUCUGAUUCCUACUGCAUUAGAAAUACCAACCAUUUUAGUUUGCAAACAUUCAAUUAAUUAAAAGUACUUGUGUGACACAUGCUGUGGCCAACAUUAUUUACGCUAACUUCAAAAUGAGGAGAUAAUCAAUUAUUUUUUUUAAAAAAAAAAGGAAUUGUGCAGAGACAUUUUUUGCCCAUCAGGGUUUUGCUUAUUGUGUGCCAAUCUGGAGUGUCAGCAUGCAUUUAAUAGGUGUCACGCUAACAUAUUAUUUAUAUACGCAUACUUUUGUUUAUAUAGUUAUAUUCCAUAUUUCUUUUCUUUUCUUUUUUUUCAAUGUCAGAAAUAAUUACAGUGGUGCGAUUAAUGGAAGAAUUACAGUUCAUAUGAACUCCGCGUACGCAGAGCAUUAAUAAAGGAUCUUAUAUAUUUGCAAGUUGCUUCAGUGAUGUGCCAGUUUGCAGCUACACAUAUAUUAAUGAGUGGUUUUAGAUUUACAUAUUCUUUAGUUGUGUCCUUUGAAUGUACAAACCAUGCACACAUAAAUGUUAUAUUGCUAAGUUUGGUCUCUGUUUUGGGCGUCGUGAACAUAGUUUGGGUAAGCUCAGCCAUGUUAUUAUGAUCAUCAUUUUGAAAAUACUGUCCUCGAGUUUUAUAUGAUUUACUAUGAACUCAGGUAAUUAUCUGCUUUAUAUGUUCUUUCGUAGCUAAUAUUUUAGAUUCGCAAUUUUCUUGUCUAACGACUGUAAUCUAGCUCUGCACAUGCUUUCCGUGGGAAUCGGCCCAAUCUCUUUCUCUAAUGGCCCAUUGGCGCAUAUAUAUAUAUAUAUAUAUAUAUAUAUAUAUAUAUAUAUAUAUAUAUAUAUAUAUAUAUAUAUAUAUAUAUAUAUAGAGUGGGCUGGUAUGCUUAUGGAAGCACGGAGCUUCCAAGUUGUUUUCGAUGUUCGGACUUUCAAAUCGAUGAUCGACUCCGUUAGAGUUGAUCUAGAGUAUUUGAAGUAACUAGAAAAUAAAUUUUGUGAUUUUUCGAUAUCAUUUGCUUAGUGAUCAAAGGGGCUCAAAAUUAAUAAUUUUAACGGCCGUGGUGAGCCAGUCGCAAGUUUAACGGUGUAGAAAUAUCCAAAUCAUAUGAAAUUUUAACAGAAAAUUAUUUAUACCAUAUAAAAUAAGAUCAAUAACUUUGAUCUAAAAUUUUAAUGUCAUAUCAUCAUAUUUUGUAAGAUUUUUAUUUUCAGCCGUUGAUUUUGAGCCACUUCGAUCACUAGGCAAAUAAUAUCGAAAAUCGCAAAAUUUAUUUUCUAGAUACUUCAAAUACUCUAGAUCAAGUCUAACGGAGCUGAUCGUCGAUUCGAAAGUCCGAACAUCGAAAACAAAGUGGAAGCACGGAGCCCUCCGUGCUUCCAUAAGCAUCCUAGCCGCAUUCUAUAUAUAUAUAUAUAUAUAUAUAUAUAUUGAGCUCCUAUACUUUUAAAAGUACCAAGUUAUUGGUGCUUGUAGAUUUUUAGCCAUUAGAUUAAGAGAUAUGCGGUUAGGAUGAUGUGGACCUCCUAGGGUUGAGUGGGAGGUUGGUUGAAUUGUAUAAUCUAAUGAUUGAAAAUGAUCCGAAGAGUAGAUCUAAUGGUAAAAAACUUACAAGUAUCAAGUGCUUGGUGCUUUUACAAGCACCAUAGCUGGGCUAUAUAUAUAUAUACAAACUAAAUGUCACACAUUUCUUGCAUUACACCACUUUAAUAAGGGGAAAAUUUUCUUGCAUUUCUUUUUUUUUUUGGNNNNNNNNNNNNNNNNNNNNNNNNNNNNNNNNNNNNNNNNNNNNNNNNNNNNNNNNNNNNNNNNNNNNNNNNNNNNNNNNNNNNNNNNNNNNNNNNNNNNNNNNNNNNNNNNNNNNNNNNNNNNNNNNNNNNNNNNNNNNNNNNNNNNNNNNNNNNNNNNNNNNNNNNNNNNNNNNNNNNNNNNNNNNNNNNNNNNNNNNNNNNNNNNNNNNNNNNNNNNNNNNNNNNNNNNNNNNNNNNNNNNNNNNNNNNNNNNNNNNNNNNNNNNNNNNNNNNNNNNNNNNNNNNNNNNNNNNNNNNNNNNNNNNNNNNNNNNNNNNNNNNNNNNNNNNNNNNNNNNNNNNNNNNNNNNNNNNNNNNNNNNNNNNNNNNNNNNNNNNNNNNNNNNNNNNNNNNNNNNNNNNNNNNNNNNNNNNNNNNNNNNNNNNNNNNNNNNNNNNNNNNNNNNNNNNNNNNNNNNNNNNNNNNNNNNNNNNNNNNNNNNNNNNNNNNNNNNNNNNNNNNNNNNNNNNNNNNNNNNNNNNNNNNNNNNNNNNNNNNNNNNNNNNNNNNNNNNNNNNNNNNNNNNNNNNNNNNNNNNNNNNNNNNNNNNNNNNNNNNNNNNNNNNNNNNNNNNNNNNNNNNNNNNNNNNNNNNNNNNNNNNNNNNNNNNNNNNNNNNNNNNNNNNNNNNNNNNNNNNNNNNNNNNNNNNNNNNNNNNNNNNNNNNNNNNNNNNNNNNNNNNNNNNNNNNNNNNNNNNNNNNNNNNNNNNNNNNNNNNNNNNNNNNNNNNNNNNNNNNNNNNNNNNNNNNNNNNNNNNNNNNNNNNNNNNNNNNNNNNNNNNNNNNNNNNNNNNNNNNNNNNNNNNNNNNNNNNNNNNNNNNNNNNNNNNNNNNNNNNNNNNNNNNNNNNNNNNNNNNNNNNNNNNNNNNNNNNNNNNNNNNNNNNNNNNNNNNNNNNNNNNNNNNNNNNNNNNNNNNNNNNNNNNNNNNNNNNNNNNNNNNNNNNNNNNNNNNNNNNNNNNNNNNNNNNNNNNNNNNNNNNNNNNNNNNNNNNNNNNNNNNNNNNNNNNNNNNNNNNNNNNNNNNNNNNNNNNNNNNNNNNNNNNNNNNNNNNNNNNNNNNNNNNNNNNNNNNNNNNNNNNNNNNNNNNNNNNNNNNNNNNNNNNNNAAAGCCGUAGUUGUCGCCGAUCGUACCUACUGAGAACUACUGUUUUGUAGUUCUCACGCUCUUUUGUAAUUUACUUUUCAGAAUUUUUGGAGCUAGCAGUUAAUCGAGGUAAGAGAAUUGCGUCAUAAUUAGCAUUUCCUAUCAGUGUACAUGAGUUAUAGAGAAGCAUUCAGUUAGAUAGCUUUUGGAUAGUGCUAUUGUAUAUUGGGACUGGCGGGGCAAAGGCCUUUUACAUAUAUAUAUAUAUAUAAUUAUAUUUCUUAGGAGUUUGUGGUUGUUGAUUGUAUAUGAAGUGAUAGUAAUUUUGUUCAGUUUUAUAUAUAUCACUCUAAUACUUAGUUCUAUUAGUUGUGGACUCUAGGUUUGCUUUGCUUCGAUGUGCUGGACACUUCGUGCAAACGGAGAAAACUUUAUCCAUUCAGCGGGUCUAUACACGUACCUGGAAAGCUUUUUCACUGUGGGCCCGAAGCGUGUCAGAUUAAUCUCAGAGUGUGUUUUGCGAGAGAGGCCCCUGGGCCAUACUGCUUGCCCUAUGAAAUUACGGCCCAUUAGAAAAAUAAUAAAAUAUAUAUAUAGUAUUUACGCAUGCAGGCCCAAAUGGAAAACGAAGGCACUCUGAGUAGGGGUGGAAUUGGGCCGGGCUUGGGUCGGGUAUUACUAUGCCCAAGCCCGGCCCAAAAAAAUGUUGGGUUUCGGUCGGGCUUUUACCCAAUUUUUUUUAAAAUUAAGGCCCGGCCCAAGCUCAAGCCCAAUGCCCAAUACCCAUCGGGCUUUGUGGAGGCCCAUUUUAUGCAUUUAUCAUAUAAUACAUAAAUACUUUUAUUUGUAUAAAAUUAAAAUAAAAUACCUAUUUUUAGUUUUAUCACAUCAAAGAAAUUAAUAUCUAACAUCAAAUAUAUCAUAAUAUAGAACUAAAUAUUUUGUUAAUAUAUAAUAUAUCCUCAUAUAUAUAUAAGUAAAUAUCAUUAAUAACAAUAUAUACUAUAUAUGAUAUACUAUAGAUAAAUAAUAUAUAUAAUUAAAUAUUUUAUUUUGAUAAUUAAUAUAUCGGGCUUUUGGGUCGGGCUCGGGUCGGGCUUGGACAUGCCCAAAUAGGCCCAAAAUUUUUUCAGGCCUAAAUUUUUAAACCCAGCCCGAACCCAAAGUUAUGUUUUUAAUACCCAAAGCCCGGCCCAAACAUGGCCCAUCGGGCCGGGCCUUGUUUAGGCCCGGGCACAGUAACAACCCUAACUCUGAGUGAUGCUUCGGUACAAUUUUCAUACCUUAACCAUUCUCUCCAUUCCAUCCAACGGCUCAGAUUCAACUACUCUAGGGGUUGACAUACUACUUAAAAUUCCCAAAUUCACAAUCAGAUAAGGUCCUUAACUCCUUAUAAGUGCAUAUCAUCCAAUAAUACUAUCAUAAUCCUUCCCAAAAAAAAAGAAAAAAAAAAGAAAACUGUAGCUGACACAUACAAGUGACUUUUGACAUUGCCGUGUACUCAUUUGCUAAUUCGAAUAUUUAUCUUUCAAUAUGAUGGUUUUAUUUUAUUCCUUAUUUUUGACCUAUCCCAAACUGAUGAUGAUUUUAACCUAACUUUGCUGGAGUUUUCCCCAAAUUGCAUCAUCUCGUAGUCAAGCCCAAAAAGAAGUCUUUUUUUAUACAAUCUUUUACAGUGCCGCACAACUGAUUUUGAGCCAUUAUUUGGAUCUUUUCUCUCUACUUUUCAUUUUGAAGGCAACAUCAUUGUUUACAUUGGGCUGGUUGCUUUAAGAGCGCCAUCCGCGAUUGACUGGAUCAUGCCACGUGGAAUAAAGAUGUUAAGAUAAUUUUUAACUAUUUUUUAGCCGAUUAAAUUGUCAUGAAUUCGAUUUCUUUGUAAAAUAAUAUAAAAUUAUUAUUUUAUCUUCAAAAUUUUAAACCGUCAGAAAACGAUAUUUGUAAUAUAUUUAGAUAAAUUCUACACUGCUUUCGCUAAAUUGAUCUUUUUAAUAAUAAAAUAUUUUAUUUUUAAGAUUAGAAUUUGUGCUUCUAGAAGAAUGAAAUGUUAGGCUUUUAGGUUGAAAAGCAUUACAUACCAUUUUAAAUAUUUUAUUCAGUAUAUCUGAUUUGGAUUUUAUUCAGUACAUCCAUCUGAUUUGGAUUCAGUUAGGUUGAAAAUUUCAGUUGAAUUUUAAGUAGGUCGAAAUUUCCGUUCAAUUUUAAGUAGUUACCAUUUAUUAAGAACCUCUUAGCCCAACUAAUUUCUUUCUCUUUUUUUUUUUUUUCGCCAAUCCUGAUUCAUAUGUAAAUAAAUACACCUAUCCAAAGUUACUCACGCGCGCCCUACGAAACCUGCUCCAACCCCACCAAUAGUUUCAAUAAUAAUUCCAUAGUUUGAGAGGAGCAAAAAAAAUCUAAAAUAUUGAACAGAUAUAUUUGCUACUAUUUGGCAUUAUUAACUCGUCAACAAUAUUCAUAUAUUUUCACGCAUCUUAAAGCAUGAUGUGUCGGCAUUUCACACAUCCUAUAACCGAUCCGAGCUCACAAUAUAUGAUAAAUUAUACUUUUCGUCCUCAAAUUAUAAUGUUGCGUCUGAUACCUUGGCCGUUAAACUAGUAUGCGGAAUUUAUUCACGACAAUUUAUAAAAAUUCAAGUUAAAAGUUUUAAAAAAUUAAAAUUUAAUGACUGAAAUGCAGUGCAUAUAACUCGAUAAAAUUGUAUUAGUCAAUCAAAUAUUAUUUAAAUAAAUAGUAAGAAAGACGAACAACACGACCCAAAAACGUCCCUGUCGUCAAAUGAGACGGAGGGUGUUGUAUUCCUGGCAAUAGCAAUGUUAGCAAUAACAAUCGCAAUAACAAUACCAAUAGGAAUAGCAAUAGCAUCACCAGAUAAACUCCGCCCACAUGUUUCGCUCUCCAGCCGCCCCCGCUUCACCCGUCCUUGACCAUCCCUUCAUUUAUUAUUCUUUCUCGCCCCCGCGCAAAACGCCACCGGCGAAAUUGAUAUGGAUUAUUCCUCCCCACCUGCGGCCCCCCGCAAAGACGACGAGUCGACGGAGCUCGGCCUCCGCAAAGACGCCCGGGGCGACCGCGUGCGGAUUAAUCCCGCCGUAGACAUAGCUGCAGAGUCCGACGCCGAGGGGGGAAGGGCGAAGGCGAGGGCGGCGUGGGUCGCGGUGGGCGCGUGCCUGCUCCUGCUCCUGCUCGGCCUCGGAGGCGCCGCGCUGCUCGUGUGGUGGGCCCUAGCGUUUCAUCGCUCCAACCGGCAGCUGUGGAUGGUGCCGGUGAGCCUCGUGCUGCUCGGCACGCCCGUCGUCACGUGGCUCUCCGUCUUCACGUCCGCCACGUGCCGUCGGUUCGAGCUCAUGCGGAGCGUCACGGCUCAGCCGGAUGUAGAGCUCGGCAGAUGAUUGAAUUCAUUAACCAAAGGUUGGAUUGUUUUUUUUUUUUUUUUUUUUUUUUNACAUUAUACGCUCAAUAGAAUCACGACUCAGAUUAAUUGGAAAUGAGUACAGUUUGAGAAUGAUUGGAUUUUCUCUUUCAAUCUUGUGUUUAUUCACAUUGAGAACUACAAUUUUUUAGCAUUUUGAUUAAUGUUUCUAAUACACGUGUUGUUGUCGCGGACCGUUUGAAUUUUUUGUCACUUUCGAGAGAAGAAAAUGAAAAGUUUUUGGUGGCCUGCAAUUGAAACGAAUGCAUAUUGUGGGUCACACGAAUACACAUUUUCUAAUUGAGAUAAGUAAUAUUUUUAAGCAUCCAACCAAUCAAUCAAUUAUUUUGAUCUUUCGUUUCUUUAAAGACGAUGAAUAAUAGUGUGCAAUAAAGUAUAUAUAUUUUUUUGACACUUCAGUGAGUCUAAUACUUAUUUUAGUAAUAUUCAUAAUCCAAUGGAUAUUAAUUUGUAGAUUUAAUAACGCAGUUGUAUUGGAUCGUUGGCGCUAAUCACUAUAAUAUUUAUGCGUUUCGAUUGUAAUUCAAUCGAAUACGACCUUUUGUCACGGGACAAGACACUUACCUUUUUAAACCAAUAAGCCUGUAGCUAGAUGCUAAUAUCGGGUAGGUGAAAAAAAUGCACAAAUUGUGCUUCAAGGCUUCGGUGUAACUCGUGCACCGCAUGUUAAUAGAAUUCGUAACAAAUUGGAUUACUAUAUAUUAGAUAGAUUAUCGAGACAAUAUAUACUAAUAAGAGUAUUUAAGAUGCUAUUUAGUACAUAGCACAUCUUUUAUCUAAACCAAAGUCGAAACUACCAAAACACAUGGCAUCUCUCUCCUCUACUUAAGGAGGUAACUCUGGUUCUAAAUCAAUAGAAUAAGAGCUACAUAUAUAGCCUAGGCAAAGAGGAGCUUUCCCCAACACUGCUAAUUAUAUAUUAACUUAUAUUUUGGACCACUAAUAGUGGAAAACUAAUAGUUGAUGCUGCAACUGGGAAUGUUUAUUGUAAGGGUGGUCUCAUUUGGGCAAGGAAAGCUCCGGCCCGGUCGGAUUUGGGGCAGUUCCAACCUAAUAACCUUCGAUCUCGCAUGUCUCUUUAGUAAAUGAUGGAGAUCAUUUGACUUAAUUAAUAUAUAUAUAUAUAUAUAUAUAUAUAUAGUUACAUAUACAGUAAUAUUUUUUUUAUUCAAGAGUAUAGAGAAUUUUGUGCGAAGAGGUGAAUCCGUUUAAUUUCUCUAAUUAAAGUGAUUGGAUUCAAUGACUCCUAUUUCAGUAUUUGUCAUUUUCCACGUAAUCGUGAAUAUAAAUAUUAUGCUUCGGGCGUAGAUUUAGUCAGAAAAAUACAACAAGUGGAUGCAGAAUAUGUUGACGUGCAAUUUAUGAAAAAAAAGAAGAAGAAAGGUGAUGUUAAUAAAAAAAUUUAAAAGUAUGUUAAUAGAAUAUUAUUAAAUUUGAUUUUAAUAUUUUUUAGUUAGAUUUAAAAAAAUAUUUAAUUUGUGCAGAGUGAAAAUGGACGACCCCGAUUAAUAUACAAAGGCGAUGAUAUAAUGAAUGAAAUACAAAGAUAUACAGAACCAUGACUUUUAUUUUUGGCUGGGGGAUUUUGUAUUUACAUUAAUAUAGCAGGUCCAGGUUGAGGCGCAUAUAUAUAUAUAUAUAUAUAUAUAUAUAUAUAUAUAUAUAUAUAUAUAUAGUAGGGCUAGAAUACUUGUAAAAGUAUCAUGAGGGUGAUGCUUUAGUGUUUUUAGCCCUUAGAUGGAGAGAUAUGAGGUUGAGAUGAUGGUGGUAGGUGGCGGUAGGUGGUGGUAGGUGAAAUAGUGUUUAAUCCAAGGAUUAUUAAUAAUCAAAAAAUAGAUCCAAUGGCUUAAAACCUAAUAGCACCAUGAUGGUGAUACUUGUAAAAGUAUCAUAGCUCAACUCUCUCUAUAUAUAUAUAUAUAUAAUUGAACUCCUAUGUUUUUAAAAGUAUCAAGUCAUUGGUGCUUGUAAGUUUUCGGCCCUUAAAUUAAAGGAUGUGCGGUUAGGAUGAUGUGGGCCCUCUAGGGUUGAGUGGGUGGUUGAUUUAAUAGUAUAAUCUAACGGAUAAAAAUGAUCAAAAUCAGAGAUCUAACGGUAAAAUAUUUAUAAACACCAAGUGUUUGGUACUUUUAAAAACACCAUAGCCGAACUAUAUAUAUAUAUAUAUGAAGCUGCAAAAGAUUAAUGCAACACAACUACGGGCAAAAAAGGAGCAAGAAGAGACAAGCCAAUUUACAAUCCGAGCUCAAAAUGAGUGGCCAUAACAAGUAUGAGACGAAGAACGUACAUAGUAUCCAAAAAGAAAAGAAAAAGAAAAAAGAAUUGUGAGAAAAUUGUCCUUAAAAGUUGCAAUUUACAAUCAAAUUAUUCUUAGCUGCCUGUUUACUUUCGGUUGGUUCAGUUAAAGAUGUAUACGAAAUAUUUAUUUAAAGGUAUUUCUAAUCAAUACAGUUUUUGCUAACAGAUAAUAUUUAAUUGCUCUUUGGAUACAAAGCGUGAGAACGUAUAUUUUUCCUCGAUCAAAUUUUAGUUUGAGACGAAAAGGAUUAAACUUUUUUAAACAAUUAAGUUUUUGAUCGGCCAAAAAAACGCUUUUUUUUCUUUGAAAGUUCAAAAAAAUUAACAUGAAACCAACACACGUUGAAAAUAAUCAACCUCUAACCUCAGCAGCAUAAAAAAAGGUCAAAAACUUGGAAAAAAGAAAAAAAUGAAGGAAGGAACGAAGUAUACAAUUAAUCACCUCUAAUUGGUGAGAAUUAAUCCACGCGUGACAUAGCCGAAGAAGAUUAAUAUAUCAGAAACAAACAAAAAGGCCCUUGCUACUCCUUAAAUUCUAAAUAAUAUAUCCAUUUUUUCAUGAAAAAAUAAGGUGUAUCUAAUUUUGUAUAGGCUCAAAGCACAUGUAAUAUAAAUAAAUUUUUUUGAGAAAAAAGUAGUACGUUACUUGUUUUAUUCAUUGAAAAAAUAAAUUAGACUAUCCCGAAAAAACAAAGCAAUAUAUAUAUAUAUAUAUAUAGAGAGAGAGAGAGAGAGAGANNNNNNNNNNNNNNNNNNNNNNNNNAGGCGAUGUGAGACUCAUCUCGCUAGCCCGUCAUCCAGACCCUGGCUCAGCCGAGACUCAUCUCACACUUCCGGCUGGUAAUUGGCUCUGAUACCAAAUGUGACGCCCCAACUUCCCAGGGGGUCACCCAUCCUAGGACUACUCCCGUCCUAGCACGCUUAACUCUCUUAACCUCUUGGGCCUUGCCACUACCCAAAAUGCUUAAGCCGGGUUAAGAGUUUAGCCCUAUUAUAUCUCAUAUAUAGGACUAUCUGGGGUCUCACAUGGGAUGUGUAGCUAGGAUGAUGGUGGUUCCCACUUAAAAUAAUAGUGGUCCCUUAGGAUUGAGUGGGUAAUUGGUUAAAUAGUGUGAUCUAACGGAUGAAUAUAAUUAAUGAAAUAAAUCUAAGGGCCAAAAACUUAUGAGUAUAAGAGAGUCAAUACUCAUAAAAAUAUAGUAGCCGGACUCAUAUAUGCUGGGGCUAUUAUACUCUUAUGAGUAUAGACCUCCUUGUACUCAUAAAUUUUUAACCGUUGAUUGAUGAGAUGUGUGGUUAGGAUGAUGGUGGUUCCUACUUAGAAUGAUAGUGGUCUUCUAGAAUUGAGUGGGUAGUUGGUUGAAAAGUAUGAUCUAAUAUGUGGAAUGAUCAAUAGAAUAUAUAUAUAUAUAUAUAUAUAUAGAGAGAGAGAGAGAGAGAGAGAGAGAGAGAGAGAGAGAGAGGAAAAUAUGAAAAUAGUGGCCCACAAAAGCGCUUCUAGCUGUUGGAAGGACAAACGCAGAGCGCGCAUAAGUAACUUAGAAGUUGAGGUAUCGAUAAUCAAAUCUUUUUUUUUCUCUAUUUUUCAUAUUACUGUAGGAUUAUAUGCUCAGUUAACAUUCUUUUGUGGACUUGGUCAAUUAGCUGUGUCAUCCGUUGACCGCCCAGUAUUUUACUAUAUAUGCUUUUUUAAAAAAAUUUUUAUUUUGAUUUUUAUUUUGAUUUUUAUUUUUUAACUUGUGAAUGAUCUUUAAAAAAAAAUUGUUGAACCACAUCAGUUGGACCAAGUUGCUUUUUAUUUUGUUUGAGAUGAAAAAAUCCAGUCAAAUUCCGUAAAAAUAGGUUGAAUUUUUUUUAUUACGAUUCAAUUUUCCUUACCCAUCGUAGAGCUAGAGAUCAUAGAUAGCUUCGACAAGUACGUAAAAUUAAAUCCUAAGUUUAUUUAAUUAACUUUCUAUUUGCUCAUCAUCUCUCUCUCUCUCUCUCUUUUGGGUUGGAUAAGUUAGUCUAAGUUGGUCCAUUAUCUUGUAGUCCAUGCAUGGACUGGUCCGGAUGGACCGGAUCAAACUUGGUUGGACUGAGCUCGGCCACGGGUUUUGGGUCAAGCCUGAGUUACACUUGCGCCUAAACUAUCGCAUUAUAUGUAGAUCGAGAUACUAAUAAUUCGCCAAAGAAAAAAAAAGAAAAAAGGUGUUUGGCGUAAUUAGAUUUUUUUUUUUUUUUGAGAAAAAGUAGCACGCUACCUGUUUUAUUCAUUAAAGAAAUAAAUUAGGCUACAUGGAUGAGGCAUCCAGGGCCUCGAAAGAGGGGCGGAAAAAAAAAAAAUCACGCGGUGGUAGGGCUUCUAGAAGUAGGUGCACAAAUCUCCCAGGAAUUCAUCAGCUCCUUCAACCUAUACACUCCCACGAGAGGGUCCAGUUGGAUGUUUCGAAAAAUCAGAUCGUUUCUAGCCUUCCGCAUAAUCCACCAGCACACAGCCAAUACAGAGAGUCUAUGCCUCGUAUUCUGCAGUCCUUUCUUAACCAACCACCUAUCCCAGAUAUGAAGAACAUCGUCUCCCAGCUCCGUCGCUUGAAUACCCUCUACUCCCAUCACCAUGAUAAACUUAGUGAGACACAUUGGGCGAGCAGAUGGUUCACAGUCUCGUCGUGUGAUCUGCACAGUACGCAUGCCGCGUCACCAGUCCAACCUCUCUUCGCGUAAUUAGAUUUUAUUAUUUAUUUAUUUAUAUUUCUUAUUUUAGUUGAGUUUUGGGUAUAAUUUUUACUUCUGGUUCAGCCCAACAUUACAUGCUCAUGUCAUACUUAAGGCGUAAAAUCAUAGAGAACUUUUUUUUCUUUUUUUUUUUUGUUUAUUUUUCUUUUAGAUUUUGAGAAUAAUCCAGCAUGAAAAAAUACAUGAAAGAUUAGAGAUUAAAAAUAUAUAGGUCAAAUUAUUUCCUUUAAAUAGACUUGAGUAAGUGAGAUUUAACUGAUCAUCAUUCCUACGUACGUUAAGGAGUGGCAUGCAUUUUGCUUUGGUGUAGGAAUUAUAUACUCGACAAUUAAUUCGGUAGGGCGCCCCUACCUCUCCUUCUAUGAAGUUUUAUAUAUUUUGAAUUAUUAAACCUCCUCAGCAUUUGAAAAAAAAUAAAUAAAACAAGAAUAAAAAUAAAAAUACUAGAUGAAUGCUGCAGUUUAGAUAUAGCUGUUUCUUUUAAAAAAAAUAAAAAUAAAACAGAGAUAAAAGUCACAUGAAUCGAUCAAUAAAUUGGAGAUGAUGAGUUAGAUUAAGUAAGGAUUACUAAAAUAACAAAUGAAUUGUUCUUGAAGAGGCAGUUUUUUUUAUUUGUUUUUUUUUAACAAUGCCAGUUGAUUAAAAUAUGGAGGGCAAAUUCAGAUGUAAUUUAGUAAAAUGUCCAUUUUAUUACUGAAAAUGAGUUAUUUUGGAUCCUGGUUAGUGUUUUUUUUUUUUUUUUUUUUUUGNGAAAAUAGUUUUCUAUAAUCUUUCGAGGAACCAAACAGGCCUUAAAUUGAAAGACUGAAUAGUAAAAUCAAAUUUUUAAAAGACUGGAUAGUCGAUUCAAAAUAGUCCAAAGUUUAGAUUGAUUAUAUAUAUUUUUACCUAAAUUUUUUUUUUCGUUAUUUAUUUGUAUAGUUGUGGAACUGAAGUUCUUUCAAUACUGCUGUUUGUGUGGAAAAAUGUGAGUGUAUAAAAAUCGAGGUUUGAUAGUUGAGUUGAUAUUUUAUUAAUUUUUUCUCCACUUUUUUCUAAUUGAUUUGGGUAUGCUAUUUUGAAAAGUUUGAGUUUUGAUUGAAAAUAAAGUUACGAUAAAUUAAACAAUAGAAAUAGACAUUUACGACCGAAAACUAUUUCAACCCUCUCCACUUAGGGCUUGUUUGGUUCAUUCAUUUUAGGUAUGGAAUGGGAAUCGGUUUGAUCAAAUCCAGUUAAUUUUGUUUGGUUUGCAUGAAUCGGUUUGAAAUUCCUAUUCCGGACUGGAAUGGGAAUGGCCCACUAGCCUUCAAGUUGAUUCCGGUCUUCUAGUCCGGAUUGAGAUUUCAUUUCAGAAGCCCACUAAGUUCUCGAAGCUCAUGUGACCAUUUCACCCUCCUUCUCUUCACCCCUUUCUCAUGAAAAAAAAGGAAAAUCUAUCCUCUCUCAAAAUCCUAUCCCUAACCCACAUCAAUAAAAGUUUUUAAAAAUAAAUUUGAUAUUUUUUUUGAAAAACUUAUUAGAGAAUAGUAUUAUAUUUUUCAUAAAUUUUAAAUAAUAUAAAUUUAUAUUUGAGAGUAAAAUUAGUAUUAUAGUAUCUUAUAAUUUUUUUAGUUUAUACAAACCAAACAAUAAAAUGUGAAUAACUCAUUCCAAUUCCCAAUCCACAAAUAAACCAAACGUCUUAAGAGAGUGGGCCAUUUCAAUUACCAUUUCAAUUCAUUCUCAUUCCAUUAUCCAUUCCAAUUUCACCAUCGAACCAAACAAGCCCUAAUUUCGAAUCAAGUUCUCAGUUUCAAACUUCGAAGAAAAUAGUCGCAUGCACCUUUCUUAUACCACAUGUCAUGUUUUCUCAGUGUACAUUCAAUAUUAGACAAGUGAAUGAUUGAGGUAUAUUUUAUUCGAAUGAGUUGUAAAAGGCAUGUGAUGAUCCGAUUUUUGGAAUUAGAUUCAAGAUUCAUCUUAAUUUAUACAAUUGAUUUUAGAACCUGAGCUUCUAAGGCUUAGAUUGCUAAUAUGGUGACUAAAAAUACUAGUUUUAUAUUGUAAAAAGUUUAUAAAAUUCAAGAAUACUUACAAUUUUUUUCUCCUUCAAUAUUUUAAAAUUGUCACUAUAACCGCCACCAAAAAAGAAUGUAGCCAUAUAUUUUUCGGGUGGUGAUUGCAACUAUAAUUUUACAAUAUAAAAGAACGAAAAAUUAAAAGCGCAUUCAAAUUUUUUAAGCAAAAAGUAAAUAGCAAAAAAAAUUUGAUAGUUGAUAUUCAAUUAAGCUUGCAAGUUUGAUAUCUAACUACUUCAUAUUUUCAACUAAAUUUAUUUGUUAAAAAAAAAUACAAGAACUAAAUAGCAUGUUAUGCUACCUUUCUGUCAAAAACAAAACAUUGUAAUGGAUUAAGUUUUAUAGUGAUAACUUGUACAGUAUAUUUUCUUUUCUUUUUUUUUACCGAAAUUAUGAUUUAAACUUCUGAUUUUUAGUCCAUUUUAAAAAUCUCAUAAAAUCAAAAUUUUGUACUGAGGUAACAUAAUCCACAACAAAUAAACUUAUCGUGCUGGGAGAGAUUAAACUGACUCAAAGAAUAAUUACUAUAUAUAUAUGCUCACAUGCUUUAUAAGUAAAACAAACAAAAAAUAUAAAAGGUAAAAAUAUACAGAACUUCUCUGAGCUAUAGACCAUAUUGAGUCCGUUAUCCAAUUUUUCAAAAUUUGGAUUUUACUAUUCAAUUUUUCAAUUUAUUUGAUUUGAGUCGGUUAAUGGCAUUCUGAUUUCAAACUUUGAAUGCAUCGUAUGUCUUUAUAAGUUUAGUUAGUAUACUUCGUAUUAGUUACUAUAAUUCGUACAAUCUUGCAAAUAUUUAUUAAAUUUAGUAAUUAGCUUAAAAUUUUAAAUUAGAAUUACUUUUAUUGGCUUAAAUAAAAUAAAAUAAAUUUUAAAUUUAAAUUUUUAAAAAAUUAAAUAACUCAUUCAAAAUUAAGUUUUGUAAUUUUUAUCAAAGGAUGUGUCCCAUAAGAGGAAAUCUUGAGUAUAACACUUACAACACAUCUAAGGGUGUUCGUGAACCGGGUCGAGUCUGAAUAGUUGAUAUACUAUAUUCGUAUCCUGAAAAAAGGGAUAGGUAAAAAUAUAUAUAUAUAUAUACCCUGCCUAUUUAACUUUGGAUCGGGUCCUAGUCUAGAUACUUAAGUAAAUAAUAAUAUACCUCUCGAGUUUAUUUGAGCGGGUCUGAGUAGUGACUAUAUAUCCGUAUACUACCUCACUUAAAUAUAGAUCGAGUACGGAUCGGGUCUAAAUCGGAUACAAAUACCCGUAUGUACAUAUUUAUUAAACAGUUUAUAAAUAAACCAUAAACCUCUCACUAUAAAAAAUUCCUGUUUUAAUUAGUUGCACGUAGUCUAAUAAAAUUCGCUCAAAAAAAAGAUUCAAACAGUAAACCGCUAGAAUUUUAAAAAAUAAGUAAAAUAAAAAAAUAAAAAAAAAAGAGUAGACAGAGCGACUAAGGUUUUCACUAGGAUGAAAAUAUAUAGAGAUCUUUCAUCUAUAAGUCCUAUUUAAAUUAAUCCCUCAAACUUCAAAUUUUUUUAUUUACUAUCAGGUAUUUCACUGGGUCCAGGUCCGAGUUCGGUUCCGGAUCUGAAUUUGGAAAUUCUUCCGGACCCUAUCUAUUAAAAGGUCAUAUUCGGGUCCGGUCCAAGUUGGGUAUAAGUAUAAAAUAUUCGGACCAUAUCCGAAACUUUAAUGGAUAAUUUUUUUUUACCUAUGUACUAUCUAUUUUUUAUUGAGUUCGGUUUGGUCUGGAUAGAGUCCGGAUCAGAUAUAGUAUAUCGAAUAUUUUGGACAGCUUUAAUCACAUCAAUUAUUUUCAGUCAAUCAUAUUUUUCUUCUGUUUUAAAAAAAAUUAAUAAAAUUAUUUUUUUAAAAAAAUUAUAAUUUAGAAAAAAAAAUUUAAUCGGUUGGAAACAUCACAUGAGAAAUAUAAUUAUAAUAAUUGUAUUUUUGGCUUUUUUUUUUUAGGUCGCAUUUCGCGGCGCAGAAUGUAACAAGGGCAAUGUGUGAUGGCCGGCGCAGGUGUCAGGAUAAGAAAGAAUCAUAAACGACGCAGAAAUGAAAGAGAAAAGGACAAGGAAAUGAACUCGAGCUACACAAAAAGAUGGUUAAUUGAAUCAAAUGAAAGAUAUAAGUUUCCAGAUGUGGGCCACAGCUUUUGGAUUAUACCAAUAAUAAUUGUUGGAUGAAGUUACAUUAUCUUCCGUACCGUACCGUCCUUCUUGACUCAAUUGAUUUCUCCAUUUUGCCCUUCAAUGAUUGAAAUAGUAAAUAAAGGAAUAUGUAAAAUGUGGGAUUGUCAUUUAUCAAAGAUGAUGUCACUGGAAAUAUACAAUUUGGUUUAAGAACUUACUAAAAAUAAUUUAAAUAGAUAGGGAAGUUGUGAAGAAUCUCUAAUGUUUGGAGCUAACUAGUUACGAAUGAUCUUAAUAGAAUUUGCUUUUGAUUUGACUUGCAAAGACGUAUAGGCUACUAAAAGCAUAUUUAUUACUGUUGAGAAAUAUCUUAUACCACUCAAGAUUAUAAUCUUGUACUACAAACAAAUUCUAUGGCAUGUACAUGAUAUGUCAAAAGACCUGCUUGAUAUUGAGACUCAUCUAAUGUUACAAAAAUAAAAUAAAAUAAAGACAAAAACAUAUAUAUAUAUAUAUAUAGAGUGCGUCUGGGGUGCUUUCGGAAGCACGGAGCGCUCCGUGCUUCCACUUUGUUUUCGAUGUUGGGACUUUCAAAUCGACGAUCGGCUCCGUUAGACUUGAUCUAGAGUAUUUGAAGUAUCUAGAAAAUAAAUUUUGCGAUUUUUCGAUAUCAUUUGCCUAGUGAUCGAAGUGGCUCAAAAUCAACAAUUUUAACGGCCGUGGUGAGCCGGUUGCAAGUUUAACGGUGUAGAAAUAUCCAAAUCACNNNNNNNNNNNNNNNNNNNNNNNNNNNNNNNNNNNNNNNNNNNNNNNNNNNNNNNNNNNNNNNNNNNNNNNNNNNNNNNNNNNNNNNNNNNNNNNNNNNNNNNNNNNNNNNNNNNNNNNNNNNNNNNNNNNNNNNNNNNNNNNNNNNNNNNNNNNNNNNNNNNNNNNNNNNNNNNNNNNNNNNNNNNNNNNNNNNNNNNNNNNNNNNNNNNNNNNNNNNNNNNNNNNNNNNNNNNNNNNNNNNNNNNNNNNNNNNNNNNNNNNNNNNNNNNNNNNNNNNNNNNNNNNNNNNNNNNNNNNNNNNNNNNNNNNNNNNNNNNNNNNNNNNNNNNNNNNNNNNNNNNNNNNNNNNNNNNNNNNNNNNNNNNNNNNNNNNNNNNNNNNNNNNNNNNNNNNNNNNNNNNNNNNNNNNNNNNNNNNNNNNNNNNNNNNNNNNNNNNNNNNNNNNNNNNNNNNNNNNNNNNNNNNNNNNNNNNNNNNNNNNNNNNNNNNNNNNNNNNNNNNNNNNNNNNNNNNNNNNNNNNNNNNNNNNNNNNNNNNNNNNNNNNNNNNNNNNNNNNNNNNNNNNNNNNNNNNNNNNNNNNNNNNNNNNNNNNNNNNNNNNNNNNNNNNNNNNNNNNNNNNNNNNNNNNNNNNNNNNNNNNNNNNNNNNNNNNNNNNNNNNNNNNNNNNNNNNNNNNNNNNNNNNNNNNNNNNNNNNNNNNNNNUAUAUAUAUAUAUAGAGAGAGAGAGAGUCCGGCUACUAUACUAUCGAUAGUAGCAAGCUCUUUGUACUAUUGAAUUUUCUACCGUUAGAUCUACCCUUUGAUCAUUUUCAUCCAUUAGAUUAUAUUAUUAAACCAACCACCCACUCAAUCCUAAAGAACCACUAUCAAUUUAACUGGGGACCACUAUUAUCUUAACCGCACAUUCUUUCAUCCAACGGCCAAAAACUCAAUAGUAUCAAGAGCUUGGUACUAUUGAUAGUAUAGUAGCAUAAUUCUAUAUAUAUAUAUAUAUAUAUUAUCAGAUCAUAAAAAAUACAGCAUAACUGACUGAUUGCAACAUGUGAAAAUAUAAUUUUACAUACAAAAACAAAUAUACACUGCAUGAAACAGAAUUCUCUCUUAAUCUCAAACAGAGUCUAAAUUAUGUAUUUAACAACUUAAUCUUCUUAAUUAGCUUAAGUCAAUUUAUAAGAAUGUGCAUAUAAUUGACAUGUGUUUUUUUUUUCCAUGUUUCCACGAAAGAUUAUUAAUUAAUGGAGAGUGCAUAUAAUAUAUUCCAUAUGAAUUAUAGAUGCAUUUUACUAAGCUAUAAGUGCUAGCCUCAACAUUUGAAUCACAAAAUAACAUGUUAAAAAAGUACGUUGAUAUAUAGAGUAUUUGUCUCUUAUCAAUCACUCUCCUAGUAAAUAAUUAAUUAAUUAGUCAACAGGGAGUAUGCGUUUCUACCUUUGCACAAUAUAUAUAUAUAUAUAUAUAUAGUUGAGCUAGAAUGCUAUCGGUAGUAAACGAGCCGUUUUACUACCGAUUUGUUUUCGAUGAUAGAACUUUCAAAUUGACGAUCGGCUCCGUUGAACAUGAUCUAUACCACUUGAAGUGUUUAGAAAUCAAUUUUCAAAUCUUUUCGACAUCAUUUGCCUAAUGAUCAAAGGGUUUCAAAAUUUAUAAUUUUAAUGGUCGAUAAAAGGCGUUUUCUUGUUUAACGGCUAAAGAUAUCCAAAUCAAUUGAAUUUUUGUUAGAAAAUUCUUUAAAUUAUUUAAAACAAGAUCUAUACUCUUGAUCUUGAUUACAAGACUCCUAUCAUCAUUUUUUAAAGAGUAUUCAUUUUCUGUUUUCAUGAUGGUAAAAGACAAUAUCGAAAGUGGUGAAUUGAUUUCUAUGUCGUUUUAAAUGGUUUAGAUAUAUUAACGGAGCGCACGUCAAUUUGAAAGCUCUAUCAUUCAAAACAAAUCGGUAGUAAAACGGCUCGUUAUACGAAUAGUAGCUCAUCUCCUCUCGGUCUAUCUCCUCUCUCUCUUUCUCUCUUUCUUAUAAUAUAUAUAUAUAUAUAUAUAUAAUUGAGCUCCUAUAUUUUUAAAAGUACCAAGUUAUUGGUGCUUGUAGAUUUUUAGCCAUUGGAUUAAGAGAUAUGCGGUUAGAAUGAUGUGGCCUCCCUAGGGUUGAGUGGGUGGUUGGUUGAAUAGUAUAAUCUAAUGGUUGAAAAUGAUCUGAGAAGUAGAUCUAACGGUAAAAAACUUAAGUAAGUUAAUUCCAUUCAACACCUUGUUUUAGGUUGGAAUGUUUGAUGGGAAAGUCAUUAAUUAACAUGUAGAUAUAUUUCGCACCGUGUCUAUUUAUUUACACAGUUAAAAAUUCUAAACCAGUACUGCACGUGGAGAAGAUCAAUUUGUGGGCCCCACACGUUGAUAAAAAACAACUCAAGUAAAACACGUUUUUUUUUUUUUUUAAAGGUCAAUUCUUGAAUAAUUAUUAUUAUUAUUAUUAUUUUAAGAGAUAGAUAACACGUUAUUCAUUUCAUCGAAAUAAUUAUUUUUUAAAAAAAAUAAAUAACACAUUAUGUUAUUUUGGUCAAGACGCAAGGGCAUUUUGGUCCACGCGGCAUCGACACGGGAGCGAGAACCCCACAAAUUAUUAGAGGCGGUGGACCCUGGGCUGAAUCCUUUCCCCCUCCCCGAACCCCAUUUCCCCUCCAUUAAUUACUCCCUCUCCCUCCUCUCUCUCUCUCUCUCUCUCUCUCUCUCUCCACCACCCCCAUCACCAUCGUCGUGCUCUCCCCACCUCCUCCUCUUACCCUCUUCUUCCUCUUCCUCUUCGUCUUCGUCUUCGUCGUCGUCGUCGUUGCCGUCGUCGAGUUUUCAUUGCCAUGAGCGCGACGGGAUCGCGGACGCGGCUGGGGAGGUACGAGCUCGGGAAGACGCUCGGCGAGGGGAGCUUCGCGAAGGUGAAGUUCGCGCGCAACACGCAAACGGGGGACAGCGUCGCCAUCAAGGUGCUCGACAAGAAUCAUGUCCUCCGCCACAAGAUGGUCGAACAGGUUACGAUCGCAAAGAUUCGAAUUCGUUUCGGAAACCCUUGUUUCUGAAUGAAAGAAUUAGGGUUCUUGAUUGGUACUACGGUGUUUUAGGUCAACUUUGGUGCGUUAAAGAAGAGGGUUCGAAAAUGUGGUGUUGUUGUUGUGAGUGGCGGUGCAAUGGGAGCUCAUAAUUGAUUGUUUUAUCAAUUACUAUAUUGAAUUUAUUGGUAUUCAUCUAAUAAAAUGGAUUUGAGAGAAAAAAACUGUUAAAUCAUUCGUGUUUGGUAUCUCCUUGUCUUUUAGGAUAAAGUGAUCCUCGAUAAAUUGUCUCAAAUUGGGGUGCAUAAUUGAUAUAUGAGGCAAAGAGUCUUCAAUCAGCUUUUGACCAAGUUAGAGAUCAUAAUUGAUUAUUAUUAUAAUAAUUAAGUUACAUCAACUUUUACAAAAUAGGGUAGAUUACACAGCACACGCCAUGCUCCUAUAGAGUAUUGGAUUGCAGUGAAGAUUUUGUUAUAUUCUUUUGGUUUUGCACUUUUUCUUGGUAAUACUUAUUUGUUACUCCCACUAAUUGACUGCUUUUGUGUUAAUGUCAUCCAGAUUAAAAGGGAAAUUUCGACCAUGAAACUGAUCAAGCACCCUAAUGUUGUCCAGCUUUAUGAGGUAUCCUGAACUCUACUUUCUAGAGCUUUUUCUAUACUGCAAUGUUAUAGCUUCCAUUUAGUUAUAUGCUGUAAUAGCACAUGUAGCAGCCCUUGUGGCUUUGAAAGGGUUAUUGCUUUAUGUAGUUGUAUAGCAAAUGUAGUAUGUGAAUAUUUACAUAUGCAAUACUGCUUUUUAUUGUACGCCUGUCUCAAGUUGUAGGCAUGCAAUUACUUCUUUUUUCCUACGCCGAUUUUCAUUCUUCAAGUACUGGGGGCAGAAGCAGGCAAAGAAGGUCAAAAUGUCAGGGUUAGAGAUUAUAAAGAAUUUAGCUUCUAUUUAUGAUCAUAGGAGGUAGAAUAAGAUUGGGUUGAAAGGUGAAAACAUACACAAUGGGAAAUCCCACUUUGUGUAUCAGAUCCUGUAGUAUCAUGACUUAGUUGGCUUGAGAAUGAAUUGUACCGGAAAAGUGUUAGCUUGUUCUAUCUUUUUAGUGGACUAGAAAGUGCUAAGAUGCUUAAAUAUUCUAUUGUUGAUGAAUCUAAUUUACCACAUUUCUCAUCAAUAUCCAAUUUCCAGGUUAUGGCUAGCAAAACGAAGAUCUACAUUGUCCUUGAAUUUGUUGAUGGAGGCGAGCUUUUUGACAAGAUUGUAAGACUCUUGGACUUGGCUAACAUAUCUUGAAUUAUUAGAGUAUCAUUUUUGCUUUAUGCAUCAAUCCUGUACAUCAUGUGAUGAAGUGUUGUUGUCUUCCAUGUGAAUAUCUAUGUAUCUGCAUGCCAAUGGGCAUGUGUUUUCAUUGGUUGAUCGCAGUUUGUAUUGCUUUAUCUUUUGUUUGAUACCUAGGUCAACAAUGGGAGGCUAAAAGAGGAUGAAGCUAGAAGGUACUUCCAGCAACUUAUCAAUGCUGUUGAUUACUGUCAUAGUCGGGGAGUAUACCAUAGAGAUCUAAAGGUUUGUUUAAAUUUUGUGAUCCCUUGUUUUUUAAACUUGUGGAUGGAAAGCAUCUGUUCUCCUGUGGCAGCAUAAUAUUAUGCUCCUCAGGUAUAUUUCAAAAGACUUCAUCCUCUCGGCCUCUUUUUUGCAGCCUGAAAAUCUACUUCUUGAUUCAUAUGGCGUCCUCAAGGUUUCUGACUUUGGCUUGAGUGCAUUUGCCCCACAAAUACGGGUAAGUAUUCCGUCCACUACAGAGGCUUCUUUAAAAAAUAAUUUAUUUGAUGAUUGAAGCUGCUAAAUCCUUGUAUGUACUAACUUCAUUUAACUUGGAUAUGUCAUCUAUCUCGAAACUUGUCACCACAAGCUUAGCCAUUUGAUUUGCUUUAGACUUUUGAAAUUUUGUGGCCUCUGUUGACCACAAUUUUCAUUUUAGAAAUUGUUAUUUUUUCGGCCAUCUUGGUGUCUUUAACCACAGGGCAUCUAUAGACCAGUCCUUUAAUUGUGUAGUUAUAACACAGAGGCCUCAUGUUAAUGUCUUCAGUUUUGGCAGCUCUAGUAAUUUCUCUGCCUGAUUUGAUGCUUCAAUUACUUUGUCCUUUCUUGUAAAGUCUCUGUGCAACUGAAUCAGUAAUCAGUACAUAUAUGAUAAUAGCUGAAUCUUAAAGGACUUAUGAGCACAACAAUUUUAAUAGACAUGCUCGUCAAUGUUAGGAGGAUGGGCUUCUACAUACUGCAUGCGGAACUCCCAAUUAUGUUGCACCUGAGGUACAUUCGGUUACUUUCAGUUCCUACAUUUUCCGCUCUACUUCGCAUUUCCAUUUUAUAUGUGAAAGCUUUGAUACAAGAAUGUUUGUGUCUUUAGGUCCUCAAUGACAAAGGCUAUGAUGGAACAGCUUCUGAUGUAUGGUCUUGUGGUGUGAUUUUAUUUGUCCUUAUGGCUGGAUAUUUGCCCUUUGAUGAGCCCAACAUCAUGACUUUGUAUAAAAAGGUAAAUAUCUAAUAUUAGAUACCUGAUUUCCCUUAAGAGUAAUUAUUGUUUUUUUUCAAAAAUACUUGACAAUUGAUAAACCUACAUAAUCUGCAGAUUUGUAAGGCUAAUUUCUCGUGCCCAUUGUGGUUUUCUUCUGGUGCAAAGAAAUUAAUUAAGCGUAUUCUAGAUCCAAAUCCUCAUACGGUGGGUAUCAACUGUAUCAGUAAAUCUUUUUGUUUUUACAUUAUGCUUCUCUUUUAUCUCGUCGAAUCCAAUCUUUUCUUGAUUUUCAUGUCACUUUGUGACUUCGGGCGGACGUUGAUAUCACUUGAUACCUUGUCCUGCCAUAGAAAUGUCUUUUUACAUUCUUGUAUUUGUUUGCAGCGGAUAACGAUUCCAGAAAUACUGGAGGAUGAAUGGUUUAAGAGAGGGUAUAAACCACCAAGUUUUGAACAGGGGGAAGACGUGAGCCUGGAUGAUGUCGAAUCUGUUUUCAAUGACUCACAGGUAAUGUCUAUACAUAUGUAAGAGUUCCUCUAAUUACUUAUUGCACCGUCUUGCAAAAAAGUGUGAAGAAAAGCAGUUAUUAUACAUAUUGUAGGGUUAGAAGAAGAAUAGUCUUUCUGGAAUUAAAGAAACAUAUACACAGCACAUAUUUUAUUCCUGAAGACUAAGUUAGCAUUUAUUCCUCCUUGGUAGAAGCUAGAGAUUAUUUUUCCUAAUUACUCCCUGAUGCUUGUCUUCUUAUAGGAACAUCUUGUAACAGAGAAGAAAGAGAAACCGGAAUCCAUGAAUGCUUUCGCCCUUAUUUCACGAUCACAAGGCUUCAAUCUGGGAAACUUGUUUGAGAAGCAGACGGUGGGCUGUUUAAUCCUUUUAGUUUAACUUUUAAAUUUCUUGCUACUACACUUAUAUAGAUAAACUGGGCCCCCCUCUAGGAAGUGGGAAUCAGUUGAUUGCCUAAUACUAACGAAAAGAUGAGUUCACAUUUUUUGUCUUGCAAGUUACAGGGUUUAGUCAAGCGGGAAACAACCUUCACUUCACAAUGCCCACCUAGCGAGAUUAUGUCUAGAAUUGAGGAAGCUGCAAAGCCUCUAGGAUUCAACGUGCGCAAACACAAUUACAAGGUAAAAUGGCUUGUCGUAAAUUCGGUAGGCUAAACAGAUGUUGCAUGUCAAAAUACACUUUUAUUGAAAUUCCUUUGUUUACUUAAUUCAGAUGAAGUUACAAGGUGACAAGACCGGAAGAAAGGGACAUUUAUCGGUGGCAACUGAGGUACUGAGAUAAGUCAUAAUAUCUUGUUAGUUUCAUCUGCUUUCAACGUGUAAUGGAUUUGAGUUUAUUAUCAGAGCGCGCUAGUUCUCACUGUUUCUUUUUCAGGUAUUUGAGGUGGCUCCAUCUCUUCACAUGGUUGAGCUUCGUAAAACUGGAGGGGACACAUUGGAGUUUCACAAGGCAUGUCGACUUCGGAUUAAGUUGCAAUUCUCAUUGUUAUACUUGCUUUCAUAUCAUAUUUACCAAUAUUUUUAUUUGUUAACACUAUGUGCAGUUCUACAAGAAUUUUUCCACAGGAUUAAAAGAUAUCGUGUGGAAGUCUGAAGCAAUUUCAGAAGAGACAAGGUGAUUGUCAAUUUCAAUCAUUGUUUACAAUUAGUAGACACUUUCAAAUAUCUUCAACUUUAUCUCUCUAAUUUCUAAUCAUUUUUUCAGGUAAUAGCAUGGCAUUAUUCUUGUCCAUGCAUGGCUUAGUAGGUAGAUCUUCUGCUUUCAGAUUUAAAUGGCGGCAAUGUUGUAAAUAUUUAAUUAGAAGCAUCGAGAGCUUUUAUAUAUCGCUCCGGGAACAAAAGUUCCUCCAAUUCUUUGAGUUGCGGAUGAUGUGCAAAAUAGAGGGACAAAUCAAGUCAUAUCGUUCUCCGCUAAGAAAUCAAGUCCUAUCGUUCUCCGCUAAGUUGUUUUUCAGUAAGAAUAUUUUGUAAUAGAGAAUGUAUGAAGUUUACUUAACAACUUGUAUUAUCUUAAGACCUGAUUUCAAAGACGAUGAUAUUAAAUAAAUUGAGGAAUUUGCCUUCUUUUAGCGUGUCUCUUUUUUCUUUUCUUUUUUUUCCUUUUUUUUUUGUGUUGAUAGAUAGGUUAGGUAACACACUAUCUGCUUCAUUUAUUUUAUUUAGAAAUUUAAAAAUAAACUUAGCUGAAAAUGUGAAUCAACUAAGAUUCGAACUUGGGUCUCGUAUACCAACCACCAAGCCUUUUGCCACUUGCUCUAAGGACGGUCGGUUAUCAUGUCUUGAUUAUGCAAUUCAAUUUGCCAGUCCAAUGAUGAUUGUAGGGAUGCCCUAGAAAUUUAUGAUUUGCAUAUAGCAACUUUAAGCAUGCACUUAUAAUGGAAAUUGAACAUAUUAACACUCUUCUUUGAAUUUUGUAGGGUAAAUUGGGGAAUGUCAGAAAACUCUACUCAUUUUAUUAUUAGCACUCAUUCGAUAUGCAAAACAGCGCUCACGUAUGUGCACGGCCGGCCUUGCGUGUUUGUUUUCAAAGUCCUCAGCCUAUAACCUGCAGGUCUGAAGUCUGAACAAAGACUAGUAAGCAAAAAAACCACUUCUGGAAAAUAAUAAUAUAUAAUAAUACACAUAUCUAAUGGGAAUGCUUAUAAAUAAUAAUAUAAUACGAUUUAUGCGGCCACAAACAGUAGCGUAACAAAACCGCACUAACUUCUUUAUCGAGAACAUAUUAAACGUUCCUGAGCUUUCGGAUAAAUGACUCGGCGCCCAUUAACAUACUCUCAAGCAUGCAAGCAUAUGGCUAUUUAUUUCAAAUUUUUUGCUGGUGAAUUGAAACCGAAUCAUGCCACUGACAGUAGUAAACUUUUUCCUCCAACUAAGGAUGGUUUGUGGCUCGAGGUUUACAGAAAACACAGCAGAAACCAAUUGAGAUUUUUCGAAAGGUACUGCAUUUAAAUAGAAUUUUGAUGCUUACAAUUCAUAAUUAUGAUACUUCUUAUCAUACGACAUGUAUAUGCCUAUGGUGAUUGAUAGUGUACAAGGAUGAACUUCAGACAUUAGGAAGGAACUUUUGAACCAGGGUAAGAGAACAAGCGAGUAGCAUUUUGAUAACUCACCUCCGCAAGCUCCUCCUUAGGCAUCUCGAGCAACAUUGCCGCAUAAUUUAGAAUCUGAAAAUAAUUGUCGAAACGAGUAAAGCUCCUAUACAGGAUAAGUUGUGUGAAAACAUCAGUUAAGAAUGUGCAACAGUAAGGAAAAACAGUUUCACUCAAGUUAUAGGUACCUUGACCUAAAAGCACUAGCAAAUGAAGCAGUAAAAAAGGAUGAUGGAUAAAAAAACACUGAAGCAUAGAAUUUUUACCCUUGUAUGAACCUUGCAUGAAGUAGGCCAAAAUGGAAGAGAGGGCAAUUAGAGAUGACUAAACGAACCUAUUAGACUCAAGGUCAGUACUUCCUGAUAUCAAUGAUAUAACAUUAGAAUAAAACAGUCUUACAUUGUGGAUGUUAGCUGGAUGAUUUAAGGCAUCCUUCGACACAGUACCAGCCUGUGAUCCUUUAACUUCAUGCUGGCAUUCUGGCUCUUCAGAAUUUGAACUAUUUUCAGGGACUCCUAUUAAAGAUUCCGUGUUCCACGUAGACAUUCCAUCUGGUGCAUCAGUUUCAAGCAAAAUUCUAUCUAACGGUACCUAUAUAAAGAGGCCUGCAGUUUAAAUAGGCAACCACUACAAACUAGAAAUAGGUGAAUCCAUUACUGUGGAACUAAUUUACUUACCGAUCUUAGAAUUUUCUUUGCAUUUUGCACUUUCAUGUUUGUCAGGUACCCAGAAAAUGAAAAGUAAGACCCAAGAUUUGCAAGGCUAGCUACCAUAUCCGCAGAUCCGAGAUACGAAUGCAAAAUUACACCUGCUGGGAAAGGUCCAGUUCGUCUGGCCAUGACAGUGUUCGAUUUUGUUUUACAGGGUAACAAACAAAUAAAGCAUAAGAUGCACAAAUCUACCAGUUAUUGAGUAAAGAAUGAUUAAAUUAGCUUAUAUUAAUGAGAAAGACGGGCCUAAUGUACAUUAUAUGAAGACUAAUGAUGUCAUGCACCAAAACAGAAAAGUCACACUACAAAAGAUUUCUAGUACGUGGGAAGUUUCUCCGCACAAUAAAUGAUGCUGUGACUCCCUUCAAAAUACAGGCAAGUAUUUACAUGUAGAUACUUGCACUUCUUUUUACAGGCAGGAAAGAAAGAUAACCAACAUCCUUAUGAGACAGAAAUCUUAGAAAGAAAGAGGCAGUUAAGCCUCUCAAUAGUUGUCGUAAACAGGUAGCAAAUACUAAUGUAAAUCUGAAGAGGCACUUACUUCAGUAUUCCCAAAAGGUCGCCAAAAGCACGUACACAGUGGACAGAAACAGGUCUCUCUAACUCCUUGGCAAGUUCAAGUUGUUGCAGGAACACUUCUUCCUGUGAUGAAAUCGCUGUAAAAUCAUCUUACUUCAUCCACAAUUGACUUAACGGCCAAAGCUGGUGAACGAUGCAGUAAAACUGAGUUUGAAAGUACCAACAAUUGAAGCAAAAAAGAGAUACAAGAGAAAAUAUUUGAAAUAACUUUAUAUUUCUGGAAAUUUAAAAUGUUCCUUAUCGCAUUUUUUAACAUCGGUUUAAGGAUUUGUUGGAGAAGAUGUACGAAAGGUCAGCAGUAAUCAUUGAACAACCAAUUUAGAAUUUAAUUCAAGCAGACCUGUUCAUCGAAAUUAAUCUUCUUGCCGUGAGAACCCCUAUCUAGACCAAUCUGCACAUCAAAGUUAGUAAAUAUGACUUAAUUCUGUUUAAGCAUGGAAAAGCUAGAUAUACAUUUUCACACCAACUAAAAUGAGAUAAAGCUCCAUUCAGGAACAUCAGGCUACCAGUAUUUGCUUUUGACGGAAAACAAAGAGAAGGUAUACCACUUAUCACAUCUCACAUGUUUAAAACUAUCCUAAAAUUUAAUCAUUGGAAGGGAUCUGAAUUAGCGACACACUUAUCAGCCAAACGUACUUUAAACAAAUUCUAUUCUACUAAUAGUGAUAAAUAGUGGCUUUAAUGCACCAUAUGUGAUUGAUCUGAAUCACUGAUUACCAUUUCUUUGCCAACCAGCAUUUUUUAAAAAAAAAAAAAAUUCAAUUUUAAGGCCAAUGAACCAAAGAACUAUUGAUUGUCUAAGAAGAUAAUCUCACGUCCGGUGCAAGUUACCAUUCUUUUGGAUAUAUCUUCAUUAUCUUAAAAUAUUUUUUCACACAUCUUAUCCCUGGUUUUUCCAAAGAUCUUACAAAUUCUAUUCUACUAAUAGUGAUAAAUAGUGGCUUUAAUGCACCAUAUGUGAUUGAUCUGAAUUGCUGAUUACCAUUUCUUUGCCAACCAGCAUUAUUGCACAGCUUGUUUUUUUUUUUUUUUAAAAUUCAAUUUUAAGGCCAAUGAACCAAAGAACUAUUGAUUGUCUAAGAAGAUAAUCUCACGUCCAGUGCAAGUUACCAUUCUUUUGGAUAUAUUUUCAUUAUCUUAAAAUAUUUUUUCACACAUCUUAUCCCUGGUUUUUCCAAAGAUCUUACUUGUCUAGCUAUUAUAGUGAUGUGUACCAUUUAUGGCAGGGUGACCAACACAUAGAUUUCCUAUAGUUUACAGUCAUAUUGAAUUUUUAUAUCUAUUACAUACAUCACCAUCAGACGUGCAACACUCCAGCUUGAUCUGCCAUUAUUUUGUUGGUGGGUCAUGCACCAAAAACUGUUUAUUUACUACAUGAAUUUGACAAAUGUUGAUGCAAAUCCAACUGAGACAAUUACUUUACCCAGUUUUACCGUCUAUGAUCGCCAAAUCAGCGUUAUUGAUCCGUCUCCGACAGUAGUGUGCGUAUUCAAUGCUUUCGAAUUUUUUAUUAUCCAACCCAAAUUUCUAAAGCCAAAACCUCAAAACUAAUCGAGAACACAUAAAACAGUAAGGAAAUAAGAUACCAACUAACCUCCCCAACUGCAGCAGUGGGCGUGUCGGCGAAGAACUCUCUCAAUGAUCUCAACCAGUUCGGGGAUCUCUCGGCCACAUACCUGUUGUAACACAUACUAACCUUUUUAUCACCUGUUCUUUUCUACAUAAAACAAUCAUUUGUCUUAAGCAACCGCAGAGUGGCGUUUUAAGACUCAGGGUUUUUUUUUUUCUAUUUUUUUCCCUCGGGUAAAAAGGAUAUGAGCCUGAUGGGACCCAAAAGAGGAAUAUUUAACACUGCCUCUCGCGUUUGGAUUCUAGAUUGUCUUAAUAGGCCCAAAGCCCAAGACGAAGAAACUCCUUAUCUUUAAAAGCUUGAGCUAACAGAGAAGGGUAUUACUUAUUUUUAGGGUUAAAUGCAUUCAUGUCCUGCAAACAUAGUAAAUUACAAAUAUAUUCCUACAAAGUUCAACUUUUAUAUAUUGUCUCUACAAAAGUUCUAAUAUUUUCAAAUAUAUCUCUCUAUUUUGUUACCAUUAUAAAAUUGAAAGUUCUAAAGUUAUAUAUCCCUCUGCUUGUCGUCCCUACAAAAGUUCUAAAGUAAAAUGUCAAUUUUACCAUCAUAAAUAUGUCCCUCCAAAAGCCACAACAAAAGCCACAACAGUAGUAUAAUAUGAUAGGGAUAAAAAUAUCAAAUUAUCUCAUAAAUUAACCAGAGUUAAGCAUUUAACCUAUGAUUAAUUAAAGUUUUCUAACGUAUUCUACCGGCAGGAACACAUGUGAAAACAUUAGGAUUUUUGCCGGAACAGAAUAUGAAAGUUGAACUUUGUAGAGAUAUAUUUAUAAUUCACUAUAUUUGCAUGGACCUAUACGAAACUAACCCUUAUUUUCACUGCUCAUAUUUAGCCAUUAAUGAGCAUAAAUGAAUAAAUGAACUAUGAAGAUGAGAGGAAAAGAGAGAUCUCGCCAUGGAUGGAGGCCGAAGCAGGGGAUUACGGAAGGGUAUUGCUCGGCCAUCCGCUUCACGAGGUGCCAGUCCCUCUGCAUCGGAUCGAAGAACAACCGAGGAGGGAUAAUCUCAAUCUUAUUAUAUACGGGGAUCAAGAAAGGGUUUGCUUACCUCGGAGACCCCGUUGACGGCGAAUCGGACGACGCCGGAGUCGACGGCGGCGCCGAUGAGCUGCGGAGCGACGGCCGAGAUCCUCCGAUCCUGGAGGUGGCAGUGCGCGUCGAAGAGCCUCAGCCCCCUUCCCUGACUCGCUCCGCUCAUUCCCCCUCUCUCUCUCUCUCUCUCGAUCGAUCGAUCGAACUCCCCACUAACAAGUAACAACAACAAUCUUUAUUUUUUUUUUCCUAAAUAAUAAUAAUAAUAAUAAUAAUGAGCCGUAGCCCGUAGGGAAUAGUUACCGGGUUGGGCUGAACUAAUUCUCGGCCGAAACAUUUGUUGUAUCAAUUUGGGCUUAAACCUGAUCCGGUCCAAUUCCAUUCGCACAGCGAUUCAGAACGUCGAGCCUCUAAGCACGCCCCGCCCAUGUUGAACGGUGCGGAAUACUGAAAGUUUGGAGAUCGUCUCUAGUAUUUUCUUUAUUAUUGAGUUUGGAUAUAAUGCCCGCGAAAUUUCUACGCAAAAAAAAGAAAAAGAAAAAAAGAACGAUGCUGAUACAAUUCGUUCGCGAUGAUCACCGACGAGAUUCUCAGGCCAACAGUCAUUCCAUAUUCUAGUUAAGAAUUCAUUUAUUAGUGUUCAGAACGAUCUAAUAUUACCAGAGAAGAAGAAGUUGGAAUGAAAGCAUAUAGAAAUCAGCCUUUCUUUUUUUUUUUUUUUCGGCCCAUUUAGGUUGUUUGAAAGCAACAAGUUAGCCUUUACAAAUUUUGAUUAUACAUAGUAAUGCUUUAUUUCUUUUUAGUUGUUUGGUAAUACUCAAAACCUAUUGCAUGUGCCCGGUGUAUUUAUACAUCCAUACACUACUCUUUUAAUAUUGGACAUUUAUUUUAUCUGAUUAUUUGAUCUCUACCGUCCAAUGGAUUAUAGUUCUUUUAGUUAAAGUUAAAUAAUUGAAUUAAGAAUGUAAGAUACGUUAAAAAAAAUUAAGAUUUAGUUUAAACUCAUCAGAAUGCAUCUGGUGUAGGCAAUUACUUCUAAUAUGACAAAUUAAAUUACUUAAAAGCUCAGCAAAGUUAAAAUUUUUCAAAGUUGGUAAUCCCGCUAUAGUCUGGUUCAAAGUUCAAACAACCUAAAGUCACAGCUUAUCAUGAGAUGCUCAAUAAAGCGUGUGUGUAUAUCUAUUCAACUUCUAUUUCUAUAUCUAUCUAUUCUACUAUAUUAAAGGAGAAUUUGGGGAUCAAAGGAUGACACUUGUCCUCCCAAAUCCUCCUUUACUAUCUCUCUCUCCCUCGAGAUAUAUAUAUAUAUAUAUAUAUAGAGUGAGGCUACUAUGCUAUCGGAAGCACGGAGCCUUCCGUGCUUUCAGCUCGUUUUCGAUGUUGCGAUUUUCGAAUCGUCAAUCGGCUCCGUUAGACUUGAUCUAAAGUAUUUGGAGUACCUAGAAAAUAAAUUUUAUUAUUUUUUGAUAUCAUUUGCCCAGUGAUCGAAUGGGCUCAAAAUCAACAAAUUUCAAUGGCUGUAGUGAGCCGUUUGCAAGUUUAACGGUAUAGAAAUAUUCAAAUCACGUGAAAUUUGGAUAGAAAAUUCUUUAUACUAUAUAAAACAAGAUCAAUAUCUUUGAUUUAAAAUUUUAAUGUCAUAUUAUUAUAUUUUGUAAGAUUUUUAUUUUCA